CUCUCUCUCUCUCUCUCUCUCUCUCUCUCUCUCUCUCCCCAUUCCGACGCCGCCGCCAUGACGAAGCCAUCGUCGCUGCCUCGACGCGACUUCCAGCUCGACUCCUCGACGACCUCCGCUUCGGCCUUGAUUGCAUCUCCCCCGCUUCUGGAUUUCAACCACGAUUAGGCAGCGAUGGUCAUCGUCUUCCAACUCUCCCUCUACGAUAUCGUCGGAACUCUACCUUUGCCAUCGACGUCAGCCACAUCAACACCAUAUCUGAGGUACUUCUACUCCUUAGUCUUUGAAUUCGUAUCUGAUUUGCUCCGAUCCGACUGUUUUUGAUUGAUUUUGGGGGUUUUUGUUGUAUGAUACUCGCCUGAUGACGACGAAGAAGCUCCGGUCUCUCUCUUUUUGAUUCAUCUCCGACAAGCUCUCGACCUUGACCCGAUCCACCUAGAUCCAUGGCCAAGCGGCUUCCUCGACGACUUGUACCGGUGUUCUUGGAUUUCCUGGUUGUAAUCUUCAAAUUAAUGCCAAGCAGGAGUUGAAAUGUCAAUAGCCACAACAAUAAGUAUAUGUUAACGGAGCUAGGCACCGUCAACAACAACGUCCAAUGUGGAAUUGAAGGUUUUUCAUUCUUUGUAUGGCUUGGAUCGAUGAUGGAUCUGUAAGGGAGUAGAGUGAUGUGUAAGGGAGUAGAUGCAUCACAGCGGCAGUGCUUAUGUAUGACAGUAUAAUUUCAAAACUGUGAUAGUAUAUUUAUGACACUGAGAUAGUACAUUUUCGAUACUGUGAUAGUAUAUUUUCCGACACAUUGAGUAUAUUUGGUAAUACAUGGUAGUAUCUUUUAUUGUGCUUAGUAGUAGCUUUUAUUACAGAUUAUGGUAGCUUUUGUUGCAGUUUUUGUUGCUGACAGUAGUAGUUUUAAUUUCUGAUGGUUGUAGCUUUUGUUGGUGGUAGUAGUAGUUUUUGUUGCUGGCAGUAGUAGUUUUUGUUAGUGACGGUAGUAGCUUUUGUAGUCGGUGGUAGUAGCUUUUAUUGUUGGCUGUAGUAGCUUUUCUAGCUACGGAUAGUAGCUUUUGUUGCUGGCGAUAGUAGUUUUUCUUGCUGGCGGUAGUAGCUUUUAUAAUCGGUGGUAGUAAAAAGCUAGGGAUAGUAGCUUUUGUUGUUGACGGUAGUAGCUUUUGUAGUCUGUGGUAGUAGCUUUUCUAGCUAGGGAUAGUAGUUUUUAUUGGUGGCGGUAGUAGCUUUUGUAACCGUCGGAAACCUCGUUAGAAGUCGGCCGGAGACAUCACCGGAGGUCGGCCGGAGUCCGUUAGAGACCUCACCGGAGGUCUGCCGGAGACUUUUCCGGGUAAGAGAGUGGUUGUUGACUUUUUUAAUUAGUGGCAUUUUUGUAAAUAUAAGAGAGAAAUUCUAAUUUUUUGGUUGGAUGGAAGUCUGUAAUUUAGUUGAACUUUAAUACCUUUAUUUAGGCUUGGGUGGACUUAUGUGGGUAAAAAUGUUUGGGUGGACUUAUAUAAGAUAAAAUGUCUCAAAAUGGACUUUUAUGUAAUUGGUCCUUUUUUUAUACAAAAUUAUACCUAUAUUAAAGUAAUGAACACCUAUUUGACGUUUUUGCCCCUGACUGAAUUAAACAAAUUUCAACUCAUGCCGUUACAUAUAAAUAGGCACCGAUCUCUUCUUUUUACAUAGAAAGUUAGAAACCGCCACUCUCUCUCUCUCUCUCUCUCUCGAGAAGCUUGCUUGAGUUUAACAGGUAAACCUUCAAUCUUCAAGCUCGAGUUUUUCUUCACAUAUGUAAUUGUUCGAUUGGGAUAGAGUUUGUGCAUAUGUAGUUGUUCCCUGUUCUUUAUAUUGAAUCUUUGGGCGAUAUUAUCUUCGUAGGUAGAGAAAUCUUUGUUCGAUUUCUAGGUCAUUGAUUUUGGGGCUCUUAAAGAUUGAAUCUUGAGCUACCCAAUUGGUUGAAUUUUGAUAUUUCGUUAGUUUGAUUGCGGUGGUUCUUCAAAAUUCAAGAACCCAGAUAAAUCUGUUGGACUUAGAAGUAGUGGUUAAAUCAGUGGUCUUUGUAAUUAAGUAGUUUUGAUCGUUGACAUAGUAUUGUUUUUUAGAUAAAGGCAAAUAGCAAGUACUAAUAAAGUUUGUCUAUGUAUUCUAUGUGUUGGAUGGAUUAUUUGAUGACAGAAAUGGUUGUUUACAGUAGCUUUAGGCCAAUGUUUUGGUAAUGUCGCCACAUCUUGCCAUACUUCUAUUAGGUCGGAAUUAUGGGAUUAGUUGAUAUUGUGUUAAAGCUUGCAUUCUAAUUUAGGUGUGCAAUGAUCUGUUUCUAUUUUUGUUUCAAGUUAAAAAGAUAAAAGCAUAAAAUUGCAAAAUCAGCAACAUUUUACUCAAGCUGAUAAGAAUUUGUUCGAAGAUUUCUGUUCUUAUUUGCAAGUUCAUAUUUUUCUUUGUGUAAUCAUACACGUUAUACAAGCAUAGUUGAAUGAAUCUAGCUCUUCCUUUGCUUUUACUUUUAUCUGCUCAUUUUUCUAAAUUUUGUGACCUUUUUGUUUCUUUGCAUUCUUUCUUAUGACCUGUUGCCUUGUGACAUAUAACUUGACCUCUUUUACAACUAAUGUGGCACUAAAGAUACAUUUCACCUCAUGUGGUUCUUCCAUGUUUCGUUUUAAUUUUCUUUACCCGCUCUUUGAGUCCUUACUUUUUUCUCAUCCCUAUUUUGUUUUUGUAUGCAGUGCUGUAUCUCAUUCAAAUCUUCAAAUUGUGGAACAUGUGUGCGGAGAAAAAAAAAGGGCAGAUGCAGAGGAUUAACUUUGCUGUAUAAGACAUUAUAAUUGUCGCCCAGCAUCCUUGAGCAAACAUUAGAACAUGUACUUCACUGCAUCCUCCUUUGUUCCACCCUUUUACUCUGUAAAAAAAAAUGUGCUGUAUACAUGCUUAAAUUCUUAAAAUUUAUUGUCUUUUAAGAUUUUUAUAUCAAUAACAAAAAGAAAGAUCCGCAGCAAAGCGUGGGCCACUCAACUAGUUAAAACAAAAAUCAUCUUAGUAAUAACAUUCCAAAAUCGUGAUCAAAUCUGUAUUCUAUAAGUUAGUUAAUCGAAGCCACUGGAAAAUCAUAUUAGCUUGUGUACUUUUUGAAUCAUAGAUAGAGGUAGCAAUAUCGUGAAGAUAAUGUAUCAAUUUUUUGAUUCUUGUUCUCUUUUAGUGUGGGUAACUGAAUAUACUGUCAUAUUGAAUUAUUGAUGAUGUUAUUCUUGUAUGAUGGGUUGAAUUUAUUAAAGUUCUAAACUGGUUGUGGCUCUAUUUUGGUUUUCAAUUGUAGUUGAUUAGGGUUUCAGUAGAGAACCAAUUCUUAUCGUAGCACAACUCUUUAAUUUGUGUCCUAUCUUUCUGUGAUUCCUUCGUGUCCUAUCGUACCAUAAUUUCCAUUUUUCUGCAACAUAUUAAAUGUUUUGUUGAACAGAUACGGUUUUUAGAAGUAUGGAUCGUCAAAGAAAAAUACAGCAGCUGUCGUCCAGUAAGAGUGAUCGUAAGAAGAUUAAGGAUCGAAAGAAGAAUCUAAUCAAGAAAGCCGAGGAGCUUUCAAUACUCUGUGGCGUAGAUGUAUGUUUGAUCCUCGACCAAUGUCAAAGCACUGUAGUAGAGACUUGGCCUCAAGAUCCUGAAGAAGUAAACCGCAUUAUCACUACGUACAAGGCAAACCCAGCAAUCAGAGAUGCUAGUAUUCCUUCAUCAGAGCCAAAGGGUUUGGAAGAAACUAAGGCUGGAAAGUCCCAUGGUGGUUGUCAGAAUGUUGUUGAUCCUGACAAGGAGAGGGGUACAAAGGCUGGAAAGUCCCAUGGUGGUUAUAAGAAUGUUGUUGAUUCUGACAAGGAGAGGGAGAAGUUGUACCCGACAUGGGAUGAUCGACUAGAUUACUAUUCUGAGGAAGAAUUGAUUAGACUGUUGGCUUCCUUGGAUGCAAGGCUACAAGCUUCAGCAAAUAGGAUUGAUAAUGAGCAGUAGCGGUUUUGUGACCCCGAAUAACAAAAAUAGAAAAAUUGGUGCACUGGAUCAUCAAUCAUCACAUGGUGAAUGUGAGCUUGAACUUGUUCCUUUUCGGUGAUAUUAAUGAUCGUGAUGAUAAACAGUACAUAGUAUUCGAGCCAUGUAAUUCAGGAGCUCUCCUAUGAAGCUGACUUGAUUCCAGGUUUAGACUUUAAGUGGUCAAAAGAAAUUUAGGGCAUAGCUCUAACCCUCAAGAUACUUUUCCAUCAUUUACAUUGUAGAUUUUUUAUGUGAUAUAUUUUGUUCAGAGCUGUAAGGUUUGCUCUCCCCGUAUUUCUUCUUUCAAAUUUAUUCUCAUGCCGCUAUUUGUUUUAAUAACGAAUUAUAACUCUUUGUGGGUUAAGCUGGGGAUCAACACCCAACAGGUACUCGUGAUUCAGUAGCGGUAAGUGUUUGGGAGAUGGUUCUGGUUCUGGGCUGUUUCUAUUUGUGUGAAUGAAUUCAGCAAUGUUUUCUGACAUAAAUUCUUGUGAUGGGUGGUAUAUAAUUCGGCUUCAAAUCCUCUGUCACCAAAUUCCUAUCUCAUUUUCGUAACCCUAUUAGUUUUUGACAUGUGGCAAUUCUUGCCUACUCAUCUUAACAGCCUCUAACCCUUGUUAACUUUGUUAAACUCUAACUCUAACCUAACUCUAACUCAACUCUAACUCAUUCCUAUUUUAUAAUUUAAUUUUAUUUAGCAAAAUCUGAUGGUGAAUACCAAACGUCAACCCUAUUCUUCUUCUGUUUUCAUCGACAAAAAAAAAACCCUCCCUCUUCUUCUUCUUCGUCGUCUGCAAGCACAACAAUACCAGUUUCACAAGAAGUUCAUCAUUUAGUUGAGAAAAGAGAGAUCAGAGAUACUAUUCUCUCUGAUAUCUGAAGAAUAUGAGAGAAGGGUGAAGAGCUCAAGAAAGGCUGGUAAGGCUAGCUGAAUUGGCUUCUUGUGUUUCAGUUUUGGCUCAAACCCUGCAGUAGAAAAUUGGAAAUGAGAAGAUGGAUUUUCUUGUGAAGUGGAUGGAUCUACGAGCCGAAUUGGUCUUGAAGUCUCUAAUGGACUCUUUUCCGCUUGAUAAAUUAGUUUCUGAAGCUUUUCAUUUGCAUGUUUGUUUUACUGUAAGGAUCUAAUAUCUAAUUUCAUGUCAGUAUGAUCUCUGUAUCAUCAGUUUUCUUCUAUAAAUUAAUACAAAGAAGAUGUCUUGAAGAUUUUAGCUUACUGAUGUUCAUGGUUUCGUUGUUCUUUUGUCUCUUUUGGAAUAUAAGUUGCAAAGCAUCUUAAGUAUGUCAUUGUAGUUUCUCAUUCAGCCAUUUAGGUAGAUCUUAUAUUCGAUACAUUAUGUACAGUUAUACACAGCUACACAACUAUGCCAUAAAAAGCUGUUGAAUUUAACAGCUUGGCUAAUGGCAGUGACUUGCAGACUGCUAUAAAUGGAGACCAACUUUGCUGGACAAACUUGAACAAACUUAAACAUAAUGCACUAAGAUUAAUCCACUUAAUGAGAUAGAGCAAAACAAAAUAUAGCACAAAGCUACAGCCAUUUGAAUUUAGCAUCACUAAACAUGUACCAAAACAAAAACAUAACAUGUAAUUGAAAGGUUCAUAUUAUGUCUCUGCAUAGAAUUUUGGUAUUGUCCAAAUCUAAAAAAUUGGAACUUCGGCUUUCAUCUCUUAGAUCAUCAUGCUCUUUGAUUUCACGAUUCAUCUCGGGUUUGUGAAUUUUUGUAAAGCAAGUUCUUCAAUAGAAAUUGUGCCUGCACUCGCACAAUAUGUUCGUCAGUCAAAAGAGGAGUUUCAUAUUCACAUCGCAAUAUCAGAGAGAAUAUAUAGUAUCUCUGAUCUCUCUUUUCUCAACUAAAUGGAUGAACUUCUUGUGAAACUGGUAUUGUUGUGCUUGCAGACAACGAACAAGAAGAAGAGGUGGGGUUUUUUUUUGUCGAUGAAAAAGGAAGAAGAAUAGGGUUGGCGUUUGGUAUUCACUAUCAGAUUUUGCUAAAUAAAAUUAAAUUAUAAAAAUGGAUGAGUUAGAGUUGGGUUAGAGUUAGUGUUUAACAAGAUUAACAAGGGUUAGAGGCUGUUAAGAUGAGUAGGCAAAAAUUGCCACAUAUCGAAAAUUAAUAGGAUUACAUGGAAGGAGAUAGGAAUUUGGUGACAGAGGAUUUUAAGCCAUAUAAUUCAAACUAAUGUUCAAUCACUCUACCACAUUAAUGGAGUGUGUUUGUGCACUUCUGUUAGUGUUUCACUGCUAGUCAAUGACUCCGUCCUUGGGUAAAUCUGGAGCUGUGGCUCUGUUUAAAAUUUAAAAUGUUGUAGCUUUUAGCAUGCUACCAUAGAAGUGAUAGAACACAACUUUUAGGUUUAUUUAUUUGUUUUUGUACUACUUCAGUUCUGCUGCUGCAUCAAACUAGGACGUCUCAAACCCAUCACUCAAACUUAAGUCCUUGAUUUAAUUAGUUAAUUGACCACAGCUCUGAUCACAGUUAGUUCAGGUAGGAGAAAAUUAAGGUGGUUUUUUUGAGAAAAUUAAGGUGGUUGAAUAUAGGGAAAAUGCUCAUUUAGUACUAAUUCAAACCCCUCAUUUUCCAUUCCAAUAAUAAUUUUUUGCAUUAGCCCAUUUCAAUAUAAGGUAACAUUUUUUAUGCCCAAAUGCAUAAAUCUUUGCUAAAGUCUUAACAAACCAUAUUAUUUUAAGACUAUUUUACCCUCACCCCUUAAACAUGCAUAGAGAGAGAAAGUGGAAGAGAGAGAAUAAUUGGCCGGAACCUCACCGGACUCCGGUCACCGGCCGCCGGACUCUGGUCACCGGUCGCCGGACUCCAGUCACCGGUCGCCGGACUCCAGUCACCGGUCGCCGGACUCCAGUCACAUGUAACUCGGUUACUGACCCCUAAUAAUCAGCUACUGAUCCCCAAUAAUCAGUUACUGACCCCCAAUAACUUGGUUACUGACCCCAAAUAAUUAAUUACUGACCCCCAGUAACUCAAAUUUUCUCCGGUCGUCGGAUUCCCGUCACCGGUAACUCAGUUACUGACCCUCAAUAAUCAGUUACUGACCCCUAAUAACUUGGUUACUGCCCCCAAUAAUCAGUUAGUGACCCCCAAUAAUCAGCUACUGAUCCCCCAGUAAUCAGUUACUGACCCCUAAUAACUUAGUUACUGACCCCUAAUAAUCAGUUACUGACACCCAAUAAUCACUUACUGGCCCUUAAUAAUCAGAUUACAAACCUCAAAUAAUAACUUACUGACCCCAAUAUUCAAAUGUAAGGAUAAAAAAAUAAAAAAUAAAAAAUAAAAAACUACUAACUACCUUGAGGUCAUGCUCUAGCCACCCAUAUUUCUUUUCUGGACACCCAUCUCCCCCGACGGCGAGCACACCGGCCUCCUCUACCGACCCCAGCCCACCUCACUCUGCAGAACAUGCUCCGGCAAAGGCUGCGGCGGCGUCCGUCGUCGAAGAAAGGAGAGAGAGAGAGAGCUUGUGAAGACUGCACGACAUGGAUUUGACCGUGAUGGUUGAAUCGGACAGAUCGACGAAGUCGAGGCAACGGCGGUGUCCGUCGUCAAAGAAAAGAGAGAGAGAGAGAGGUGAAGGAUCGGAGUUUACCGGUGGAGUGUGGUUGGGGAGUAAGUGAGGAGUAGUAGUAGAUUGAUUAUUACUGGAGCUGAGUACUAUUUUAUGAUCAUCGAAAAGGGAUGACGUGGCGGUGGUUGUGAUGACCUUGCUACGAAGCUGAACCAUCAGAAUCGCAAUGGAGACAGGAAGGUCCGAUUUGGAAUCUGAGGAACCGAUCGGAGCGUCGGAGUUGCCGUAAAUGACCAAAACGAUGAGGAUCGAAGCAAUGCGCAACCACAAGAUGACGGAAGAGGUCUGUAAACGGAGCCUCUCCAUUUCCGAUCAAGCUUGGAAGCUCUGGUUUCGUCUUUGUCGAGAAGAAGAAGCUCUGGAAUUUGAACCGCCUUGCAAAGUCGAGGCAACGGCGCCGUCCGUCGUCAAGGCUACGGCGCCGUCCGUCGUCAAGGCUGCGCGACGUCCGUCGUCGAAGAAAGGAGAGAGAGAGAGAGAGAGAGAGAGAGAGAGAGAGAGAGAGAGAGAGAGAGAGAGGAGGAGGAGGAGGAGGANNNNNNNNNNNNNNNNNNNNNNNNNNNNNNNNNNNNNNNNNNNNNNNNNNNNNNNNNNNNNNNNNNNNNNNNNNNNNNNNNNNNNNNNNNNNNNNNNNNNNNNNNNNNNNNNNNNNNNNNNNNNNNNNNNNNNNNNNNNNNNNNNNNNNNNNNNNNNNNNNNNNNNNNNNNNNNNNNNNNNNNNNNNNNNNNNNNNNNNNNNNNNNNNNNNNNNNNNNNNNNNNNNNNNNNNNNNNNNNNNNNNNNNNNNNNNNNNNNNNNNNNNNNNNNGAGAGAGAGAGAGAAUGAGAGGUGAGGGAGAGGAGAGAAAUAAUAAGAUUAGGGUAAAAUAUAUUUUGUUAAGAACCAUUGGAAUGUAUUUUUGUUUAGAACCAUGGGCUAAGCAAAAUAUUUUUCAUUGAAUUGGGCUAUGAAAACCUUAUUUGUGUGCAUUUGGGCAUUUUCCCUUGAAAAUAUGAGCCAUGUUUUUCUCAGAAAGAAGCUAAGCUAUACAUGGCAAUCCAUGAAGUUGUUCUGCCUCACCCAUCAUCUCUAUCAUUCCCAGCUUCAAGCUUGACCGCAUGGACAAAAAUCUUCUUGUUCCACCGCAGUCGAGUACUACUAGUGACCAAUUUUAUGAGCACCAAGCAUCAAUUGCCAAUGCUGAAAAACACCACGUCCUCCAUGAGUGGCCUUUGAAGCCCUCCUCUCCAAGCUUCCUCUAAGGUGCCUCAACCAUCAAAUACUGACUCACGAAUCACGAUCAUCCCGAGUUUUAAGAAUCGACACUCAUGGUCAAGGAGGAAACUGAUGUUCAAAGUAGAGAAAUACAGGGCACCAGAUCACAAGACGGUUUGUUUUAACGUGAGAUCAGCUACCGUUGAGAUCGGCUAGAUGAGGCUGCAUAGCUAGAGGAGCAAAAAGUAUUGGAUAUUACGGAUUAAAUGAAGUUAAGGCAAGUUUUAUUGUGUUAAAUUCAUUACUCCAACAACCACUUCAUGCAAAGCACACUACUGUACAGAUCUUUUGGUACCAAGUCACCCAAUACAUAGAUUACGAAAAAAAAGUUAGAAAUUAGACAGAAAAAAUUAGGAAUUAGACAGAACGCAGGCGUAGCACACAUGACAAAAGCUAUAACUACAUUUCACUCUGCAAAAUGUGCAAUACACAGUAUAAUCCAUUGUAGUACUAGGAUAUCAGACGGGAAUUAAAACAGAUUCCAGUAAGAACACAAAAGCCUCGUGUUGUUCAUCUGAUAGAAGUCUAUAAUUACUUUCAGCAUUCUUAAAAAAAAUCUAAUGAAAAGCUUCAACUUCAUUCUUGAAGUGUUCAAGAAGGCCAUCCAUGCUCAUUACAUUGGAAUCUCCCUUAUCCCUAACCCGUACGCUAACCUGAAAUGAUCAAAGAGAAAUCUCACUUUUAACAGAAAAAAUAACACCAAGCAUGUAAUGGUUUUAUGACAAUUAUCAUUUUCCGGUUUCGUCACAGCAAAGAAAAUUGCACUAAACCAUGCCCCACGUACAAAGCUUAUUCCCCAUAAGAGAACUAUUGUUGAGGGGCAACCUAACAAAAUGACAUAAUGUUUGUGGCCAGACCAUUGCUAGUAGGGUGAAAUACAACAUUAUGAAGAUAUUAAAGAAGAUAAUUAACCUGUCCAGUUUUGACUUCCUCCUCGCCAACAACUAGAAUGUAGUUGUACUGUGCCAUCUGAGCUUCUCGGACCUGCAGGAACAAAAGCAAGCAAUCCAAGGAUGAGAAGCUCGGCUCUUCAGUUCAUUAAAUAAUUUGACAGUGGUGAAGCAAUACUGAUAUGAAUCAUAUGAUUGGGUUGAAUGUUGACUGUGAUGAAUGAUGCAAGGCAGAAAGAAUCUAAUAGACUAUCAAUGGUUAACAUCAAUUCAUUAUUGCCUCAUAAGCCACGGAGAGGGAGCGGGAGAGGGAGAGGGAGAGGGAGAGAGAGAGAGCAUGUGUAAUGGCCAAAGUUAACAAUAAAUAAAAAUAACACUUACAAUCUGAAAAAUAGAAAAUUUGAUGUACUAGGACGAAGUUAAGAAUGCAAACCUUUUUCUGUAUGGUUCUAUCACUUGUGUCAACAUCAACAUAAUAACCAGCUUGAAAUAUCCUGUCCCGGACCUACAAAAAUGAAACAGACAAUUAAUUUAACAAUGGUAAGAUUCAAAGAAUAUAUCUCUAAGUAAAUAUCAUAAGCAUUUUUUAUUUAAUUAAAUUAAGAAUAUCAAUUGCAAUUAUAAAUCCCCGCAACCAGGUUAAGUUCCUAUUUCGAUAUUACAGGAAAUACAGAUUUCACUAAACCAGAUUAGUUUUUGGCUCGGCUCCAAUGCGUAACCAAAACUGUACGCAAACUGCUCUAGCUUGGUACAAUUAGCUCCAUGAGAGCCUACUCACUAGUUCGGUUUGCAGAAUGAGCAAGUCAGCCUAGAAAGGCUCAUACAAUAGACAGACAAUGGAUGCAGGAAAAUGGAAGAUGAGAAAACAAAGUCUUGAAGUGAUUGACUUAAUUCAAGAACCUCGGAUCAAAACAACAGAUCUCAAAGAGCCGGUGAGCCGUGGUCUGUUGGUUAGCUAGCCUAACUAACAUGGCAAUUCGUGGUUCAAAUCUGACUGAUAUCAGGGGUGAGGAAGUUGCACUGUCAUCUAGAAUAUAAAAAAAUAUAAAAGAGCAACUUACUCGGUCAAAAAAAGGGCACCUUAUUAAGAGUAACUGCUCUAAGGAAUAAAUUUUCGAAAAAAACUACUUUAAGGAUGGAAUGUAAAAUUAUUUUGCAUGUACAUAUUUAAUAACAUUAAUGCACGUAAUGUAUAAAUCCUUGAAAGAGUACCAGCAAAAUACUAAUGAAAUUUUAAAGUAGUCAACCAAUGAAGGACAAAAAAACUCACCUGUUGAGCAUAGGGCUGGGAUUUGUCAGAGACAGGGCAAACAAUUGCCUGACGUGGACUAAGCCAGAAUGGCCAUUUCCCCUUGUAGUGCUCCAACAGUAUAGCAAACAUACGCUCAACAGAACCCAAAAUAGCUCUGUGAAUCAUAACAGGUGCCUCCCUUUUGCCUUCUUCACCCUCUGCUGAGUAAUACAGCUCAAAGCGAGCAGGUAGCUGAAAAUCAAGCUGCAACCAGUGUUUUUCCCCAAAAAAGUUAAAAUCACAUAAACAACAAAACAAAUGAUCGUCGGACAGAAAAAUUGACGACAAUAUACCUGUAAUGUUGCACACUGAAACUUCCUGUUCAAUGCAUCAGAUACACUGAUAUCUAUCUUUGGUCCGUAAAAUGCACCGUCCCCUUCAUUUAUCUGUAACAUGACUGAAAAUGUAAAACUCUGUGCACAAACAAUAACUCAGAGGCACAUGUAGGAGUGCUCUUAAAACAGAUAAUGGACCUAAACAGCACCAUCAGCCACAAAAUAUUGUCAUUCUACUCUAGGUCCACAUGAAUGAGGACAAUAAAGAGUCCUAGCCAAUAUCCAACAAGCUUAACAGCAAAGCCAUUACAUAAACUUACAUGCUAUACAUUAAUCUUAUGAUCAUUAGGUGCCUAUCACCUAAAAAUAAACACUAGAUCAGGUACCAAAUAAAGUAUUAGCUAGAACCAUAGAGGCAACUAGAGCAUUAUUAAAAGUACCUGCCAGGGUUUGCCAAAUUCAUUUAAUGCCUCUGUAAGAGCUGCCUCAGCUUUCUCCCAUGUUUCUAUAUCUCCAAGGUACUUUUCUGGCCUCUACAACACAAACAAUUAAGCUGAGGUACUUUUCACAACGCAAUUAAGCUGAACUCCCUAUCCUUGAAAGAGAGUUAUGGGAUUCACAAGAAGGGCACAUUGUCAGGGACAGCUUACAGUUGAUAGCUUCAGAUCAAAAGUGAAGCCAAAUAUAUCGUAGGUGUACUGGAUGAAGUCUAAGACGCCCUUAACUUCAUCUUUUAUCUGAAAAAGAGAACCACAUAAUGAGUCUUACACUUGAAAUCUAAAAUAUAUUUAAUAGUGAAGAGGAAAAUAAAUUAAGUUUAACUCACUUGUGACUCCCUGCAAAAGAUAUGAGCAUCAUCCUGAAGCAUAUGUGAAUAAAACUUGGUCAAGAAGGUUUAAACAUUUACUAUCGUACGAAUAAAAGAAAAGAAACAAAAGAAUAACACUGUCCUUAAUUAAGAACAUCAAUAAGAAAGUGCUGAGAGGCACUGGCCAAAUACCCAAGAAUAUACCUGCUGGAAUCUCCGGACACGAGUUAAUCCAGUGAGUGCACCACUGGCCUCAUUCCGAUGCAAAACCCCGAAGUCAGCCAGUCGAAGAGGAAGCUCUUUAGAAUAUAUAAAAUAACAAUAUUAAAUGGCUAUGAUGGACAUGAACAAGAACAAGUAUUAAUUCACUAUCUGUCAAGAUAAAGGAAAAAUCAAAACGAAGACAGAUAAUCUACCUCUAUAGGAACGAACUCUGUGCUGAAACAUUAAACAAUGCCCUGGACAGUUCAUGGGCUUCAAUCCAAACUCUUGUUUCUCAAUCUGGAGUGGAAACACAAUAUUAUCAGUUCAUCAUAUACAAAAUUUUAUCAAGUAAAACUCAGUCAUGUUCAUAAAGGAUAGAAUAACUACUGAAAUAAGUAAUCAAUAAUACCCCAUUUGCUUUCCUACCUUCUUAUGCAUCAGCCAGCAAUACAAAGUUCCCCAGAAAACAUAUUCUUGCACAAGAUAAUAAAAAUAAAAAUAAACAAUCUGUACUCUUAUAUCUCACUAUUUUGUUUUCCAUUUCCUUAUUACUGACAGAUAGAUUACAUUUAAGCAAAAAAAGGUGCUGGAACAUAAAUAUUUAAAAGGUAUAUAAAAAUUCACCUCAAAGACAAACAUAUUCUCCUUGUAAUUCGCAGCAUGACCAGAUGUUUCCCAGAGUUGCAUAUUGUACAUGUUAGGCGAUAUAACCUGCCAAAGAAAGUACAACUGAGUACAAAUCAUUUAUGACUAAUGGGACAGCAUAAUAACUGAAAAUUUAUCAACCUCUUGGUAUCCUCUUUUUCUGUAUUGAUUCUUUAUAAAGUUCAUAAGCUUGUUAUAAAUCCGGGUGCCAUUGGGCAGAAAGAACCAGCUUCCUGGACUGAAUUGACAAAGAGUAAUAAUUAAACAAAUAUUUUGGGCAAUCUUGGUCAACAAAACAAUGAAUGAAUAUAAUCCAAAGCAUACCUAAGUGGGUGAUUGAAGAACAGCUCCUGCUUUGUACCCAACAAUCUAUGAUCAUAUUUUUUUGCUUCUUCCAAAUGCUUGAGAUAUGUCUGCAAAAAGAAAGUCCAAAUUAGGAAGAAUGACAUACUUCAAGUCCAAUGACCACAAUAAUGCAUUGGCAGAGCUUUUACUGGUUUUUUAUCCCAACUGACAACUACAAAAUUAUUUUUCAUUUGUCUCAGCAUUUAUUGUUCAAUACGGAUUACGAUAACAGUCUAAACUCGUUAAAAAGGACAUGGCAUGUCUUCAACAGCAUGUCGUUAUUUAACUUUAUGCAGCUUCAGUAAGUUGGUGUAUUUGUAGACACACCAGGUUUAAGUUCAAAUGGUGUGGAAUCAAUAAAUUUCAGCCUUUCAGGUACCAACUGUACUACAGUCUUUGGUUACUUAAAACACAAAAGUUUUUUCCUCCAUAAGUGAAACCUUUUUCAACACAAGUGCAAUCUGUAAGCUAUGGUCAAGUAAAAUACUAUCAUGUAGCAUUGAACUAUUCCCAUAAUAUUUUUAUUGAGAAUGUCAUUUGAUUAACUAUUGCAACAAUGCGUACAAGGUUCUUUAGAUUUUAACAACACUUACAAACUCAGCUGAAGUAGUUGAUAGAAACAAGAAAUGAGAUAAGUAAACCAAAGCCAAAGUUACAAGUCAAACUUAAUGUCACCUGCAAUCUUUUCUUAUCAGGAUAAGAUAUUCCAUAAACUCUCUGUAAGCUUUCACGAUCUUUAUUUCCUCUCCAGUAGGCGGAUGAAGCCUGAAAUUACAAAUUCAUAAAUCAAAUACACUGAGGUGACCCGAUGCAUACAAAACAGAAAUGAUGUGUUAACAUACCUUCAAACAUGCAAAUGCUUUGACAAACGAUGUGUUUGGUAUGUGCGGUCCACGACACAAGUCAACCAAGGGGCCACAUCUGUAGACGGUGAUCGUUUUGUCGGCUGGAAGAUCGUUGAUGAUUUCAACCUGAUUAAAAUAGAGCAAACAAAAAAAACAUAUAUGAAGUAAUCCAUAUACCAAAUAAGUUAAACUCAUUUAAUUAGAAAGAAAUUAAUUGGCAGCUUCACUUACCUUAAAUUCAUUAUCAGAGAAAAUCUCAAGUGCCUGAUCCUUUGUUACUUCAAUGCGCUCAAAUGGUUGUUUUUCCUGGAAGAAAAAAAUUAAAAUAAGAGGUCAAGAGCUAGAAAUAGUAAAAAGUUGAAACACCUAAUGUGAUUUGCAAUCAGUCAAGGUAGAACAGUUUCCCUGAAUAAAGGUUCCUUUACAUAAACAUUUAUACAACAUCACAAACCGACCUUAACAGCCUUGUCUGCUCCUGAUUCAAUUAACUUGAAGUGCUCCUCAUUUAACCCCAAAUCACCAUAAAAUGCAUCAUAAUAGAAACCCUGUCAUCAAAUUCAAGCACGAAUGAGUAAACACGAAAAAACAAAAUCACAGCCCUAUCAAACAAAAUCAAAAUAAUCGAACCUCUCCUCUAGUGGUGCAAGGACCUAUACACAGCUUGCAUCCAUACUCCGCUUCAAGUGCCUGCAAAGAAUCAAAAUUCCAUCAAUACAAAUCAAUCUAACCACACCAAUACUUGAAAACACAAAAGUCUCACUACCUCUCCAAGAAUAUGGGCGCUGGAGUGCCAGAAGGUGUCCCUCCCUUCAUCAUCAUCGAAAGUAAACAGCUUCAGUUCACAGUCACCCUCCAAAGGCCUGGUCAUGUCCCACAGCUGUCCAUUGACCCCAGAAAUCAACGCAUUGGACGCCAACCCCUUCGAAAUCUCCUUCGCAAUGUCGAAGGGCGAAGUCACCCACUUCUUCCCCUCCUUCACCUUCCCGUCCGGCAAUGUAAUCCUACAAACAACUCAAAAAAGUCCACAACAAGAAUCAAAAUCCAUUCAGACCAACGCCGAUGGUCUCGGCUAGGGUUUGGGGUUUGAACAAGACGUAACAGAAUCAAAAGUUAGGGUUUAGGGUCUGAGAGAAGACUCACUUGAUUGGAUCGGAAGGUAGGGCUUGACGCUCGCCGUGCUGCUGAGCAUGGAUUUUCAUGAAUAGCCCGAUGCGCUUGGGAACUACGGUGGUGAGGUAAGCGCCGUCUUUGGGGUGGGACAACAUGGCGGCGGCGGCCGGCGGCAUGGCAACGGAAGGAGACGGUGGUAGGGAGGAGAAGGCUUUCCGGUACGGCGGAGGAGUCAGAGGAGACAGUGAGGGAGGGUUAAGGUUCCGGCCGAGGAGACAAGAUGAGAAAGCGGCUGCGGCUGAUAUCCAGGUUUUAUAGAGCAUAUAGUUUCAGAUUCGCUGUCAUUUUGUGACCGCUCUUGUACUUGUUUUCACUCUUUCAGACCAAAACGAUUUGGGCUUAUUGUUUGUUGGGCAAUACUGUUAUUUUUUGUUGGGCAAUACUGUCAGUUUGUCCAAAAUUGACAUUUGUUGUUUUUUUUAAUUUUUUUUUUUUGUCUUUGUUUUCAUUUGCUUCAUUGAUUUUAAGAUGGGAUCCAUUUUGUGGAUGUGCAUCGGAAAUUUUUUUUCUAAUUGAGGAUCUUUAAGUUGAGGAUUUUUCGGCUUAUCCCAUUUUUCAAUCUUAUAUCCACAUCUUGACCGUUCAGUUUAUAGGUAUUUAUGAGUAGAUCAUUUCUGCAAAUUUUCAGCCAUAUUGAAAAUCGUUAAGACAUUCAUAAGUGUGAUUCACCAAUUAUGAACUUGAACAGUUCAUGUUUGAUAGAUUUGGUUCGUCCAUUAAUUUGAUCUAGUUUGUUACUUUAACGAUCACCAAUUUGACUAAAAAUUUGUAAGAUUGAUCUACUCAUAUAGACCUAAAAACUGAACGGAUGAGAUGCCAAGAUAUGAUCGAAAAAUAAGUUUUUAAAAUCAUAAACUGAAAAGUUCUCAACUAGUCCUUUAACUUAAUGGUCCUCACUAGAAGGGCUUCCGUUUUUCCAAUCCUCCUUUUUUUUUGUUGUAUUUUUUCACAAUCAUCAUGUUUAGAUUUUAUAGGUCAAUCUAAACGGAGGAAGAAGAUGAGAAGAAAAUAGAAAAUGAUUUGUUUGAAUGUACAAUCCAUUUCGCUAUGGAAUUAUAACAUCUGAGUUAAAAUACAUAUAAACAAACAAGGAUUGUAUUUUACUUGCUCAAAUGUUAUAAAAGAUUUGCCAUAAAAGAAUAAAGGGUGGUUUUCCUAUUUUAGGGAUACAGAAUAUGCAGAAAUUGAAGGUGACAGCUUUCUUUAGUAUGUUAUUGAGGUAACUGAAAAGCAAGGUGCAGUUCAUUUACAACUUUCUUUAGUAUGUUAUUGAGGUAACUGAAAAGCAAGUUGCAGUUCAUUUACAAAAGAAAUUUUUUUUUAACUUAUUGAAAAGUAAUAUUAAUUAAGAUGUGAAAAACCAAUAAAAUGGGAAAAGAUAUAAUCAGGGAUAGACUGUGUAAUAGAAAAGUUUUUCUCAUUCUUGAUAACGUGGAUCAGGAAGAACAAUUGGAAGCAUUGUGCGUUAAUACUUCGUUUGGUCCAGGGAGUAGAGACUGUAGAAUCAUUAAUUGUAAUAUUUACCCACAAAGAACAGGAGAGGAGCGGAGGAGAACGACACCACUUUGAGAGCCAAGUAGAGUAACAAAUGGAAACUAGGUAGACACAAAACCUUAGCAUUUAUUUUGGUCUUUUUUGCGUGAGAUAGAAGAUAGAGAAAGAGAGGAGCGAUGAUAAUAAAAAAAUAAACAUUUUACUUUGUUCUAACCGAUUUACCCUUACAGCCCACUUAGGCAAACUUAACAGUAAAUUGGAUGGAAGUACCGUAUGAGAAACAUGUGCUUUAGUUCAGGUACCAUACGGGUAGUUUUAAAAGUUAAAGGUACCAAAAAAGUGCAAAUAGCUCAUAAUUUAGGUACCAUGCAUAUGAGAUUUUUCCCAAGUACAUUAACGUGAAACUGUUAACUGAUUUUGAAGCUAAUUUAAGCUCUUCUGUAUGGAAGCCUUUAAAGCACCAGAAACUGCUUCUUUAAAGGAGAUGACAUACAGAGAAGAAUAUUACAAGAUAGUGAUGACCGUUGUCCCAGACUCCAGACUUUUGAUAUACAAGUUCUCAUGGACAAAUAUUUGAAAAAGAAAUUGGAUGCAUGAUUUGAUACAUGGCUUUAAAGGAUGAGAGUCAUGAGACCAUGUCAACUGGAGAAGUAACGCAAAGGCCUCGAGUGGAUUUAUUGAAUUUUUUCCACUGAUGUUUGCAUACAAUAACAAAAAAAAAUUACUUUUGAGAAGCCGUAAUAUAUUACCAAUAACGUGCUACUACUAGAAAAACAAGGCUACACACAAAUUAAAAUCUGUGUGAAAUAAGACUAUUUCACACGGAUUUCAGUGAGAACAAACUAUUAGUAUCAGGACCCACCCCGAAUUUCACCCUGAAACCCGAAGUAAAUUCUACAUGGUCCACCUCCAAGGAAAAUUUACCGAAAUUUUGGCAUCAUCUUCCUUGAAAAUAGACAACCCUUACCUGAAAAAUCCAACUUACACUUCUAAAGCCAAACAUACCAACCUCAACACCUGGAGCCUUCCUGCUCCCCAAGUUCAUCACACCUCCCAAUAUAACAAUUACUCAUCUAAAAUAAUUCCACAACCAACAACAAAGGCAACAUUAAUUCACUAACUGGUUAUCAGAGCAUAUCUAAUAAUGAAAGAAUAACAAUAGAAAAAAAAUAAGCGGAAGCAGCCUCUGACUAUGCCUCGACCCCAUGUACGCUCGACCUCAAAUACCUAGCAUUUAAAACCAAAGGGCCUAGGGGAAAGUAAUUUAAAAACGUUAGAGUAAGUGGACAAAAAAAAAUCAAAGAACUUAACAAAACAUAAUUUAUAAAUUUUCCCAUGUUUCAACUUUAAAACUUGGUUGCACGUAACUUUGAACGUCCUUAAAACUUUAAAUCCAAAUUCACUUAAUAAUGGAUAAACCAGCCCCGUUGGUUAAAUCAAACAGAAAUCUCAAAAUGAGGGAUAAACCAGCCCCGCUGGUUGAUCAAUUAUAUAACUGAGAAAAAUAAAUAAGGGGAAGAGUUAUCACCAUGUAAAGGGAACCUCUAAGGCUCGGGUCGAUACCUCCCAAGCUAUAAUAGCGUCUCACGCUAAGCGCUCAACUCACAUAUGAUGAGGACCGCUAAUAAUGGCUAGCUAACAAAUAAAUAUAAAUACCGAUCGGUUACCUCCCAGGCUAUAAUAGCGUCUCACGCUAAGCGCUCUACUCACCUAUGAUGAGGACUGCUAAUAAUGGUUAGCUAGCAAUAAUCAAUAUAAGCGACCCUAUAUUAUGGUGACUAAAAACAUACAAAAUCACUUAAAUCCAUUAAACUUCCCCAAGAUCAUAUGAAUGGUACGGUUCCCAACGGUACUUGAAAAUCAUCAUAAAAAUUAUAUUAAAACUCAAUGACGUGUCUCACACAUCAAAAUAUUCUCAAAUUCAUCAUUAUAAGCGAGAUUUAAUUAAUAAGUAUAAAUUGUAAAUAAUUCCUCACUCCAAAAAUACUCGCUAAAAAUAUUCUCAAUGCCAAGAUCGAUAAUCCACAAAUAAACGAGAAAAUUAUAAAAAGAGAAUUACCGAAAAUCUCAUUUUCGGAAAUCUUUUAUAAAUCUCAAAGUCCACCAUUUAAAACAAUCAUAAUGAAAUCCGGAAUUUACAAAAAUAUCCAAACUCAAAUACCAAAUUAAUAAUCCGAGCUCAAAUCCAUAAAUCAUGACCAACCAUUAUUCAAUGCUUCAAACUCAAAUAAUUUCCAAGAUCAUCUCAUAAGCCAAAAUUAUAAUAUAAGCUCGGAAAAUAAAAUAAUAAAAUAUAAAAUCUUGUAUGCAUAUUUAUUUAAAACCAAAAUGUCCACUCACAGAUUUAGGCAUAAGCCCGACGAUAUCCGCAUCACCACUCAAGCGAGGUUCCUUUCAUAUCCUGGCACAAUAAAUAUGAUUAGGACCAAACUCCAAUUCCAGAAAAUAAAUACUUGAAUAUAAACCCCCAAAACUCUUCCGCUUAUGAUACGGGUGUAUCCUAACCUUUUAAGGAUUAGCCGAUUCCUUCUCCAAGUUAGUUAAGGAAAUAGCUUUUCUAGCUUGUUAGGGGAAUAGUUUUCCAACUUAGUUUGGGAUUAGUUGUCUAACUUAGUUAGGGAGUAUUCUCCAAGUUAGAUAAGGAUUUAUAGAGAUUUAGACUCUAUAAAUAGAGGUGUCUAGCUUAGUGCUAGAGACUAAAGCGAAUCAGAGAGAGCUAGAGUGUUAUUAUGAGAGAAGGCAUUAGACAAUAAACAUUGUACCCUUUUGCACAAUAAUAAGAGAGGAAUACAUUUUCUUCGAACUACAUUACCUGUGUGUUUUAGUGCUAUUAAUAAUUCCGCUAUUAGUAGUAUCACUUGGGUACUUCGUAUCAGCUUAACUCACUACCCUUACUAGGGUUAAGCUCACCGGAUUUACACCAAAUUCCACCACAACCUUAAUUCAUCAAUUUUAACAUUCUAGAAUAAAUACCAAGGAAAUCCAACAGCUAGAUUUUCAUUCUAAUCACCGCCAAAAUCCUUAAUCAUUGGAAAAAUCCCAAACCUUAUCAAACUCCAAAAAUUCCAAACUUUACUUCAUUAAACCCCUCUCAUUAAAACCAUCUCAAAAACAUGAAAAACUACCCUUAAAGGGCGGCGCCGCCGGCAGUGGCGGCCGGCAGCCGUACUCCGACGACCUCCAAUGUUUUCCCAAAUUUUAACACAACAAUCCUCUCAAUACGUACAACAACUUCCAUAACUAGCAUUUAGUCCAAUUCUAAGCCUAACUAGGGUAAUCGAAUCAAAACCUUAAAUUGAGCCCUAAAACUUCAAUUAUACAUUUCUCCCUACCAAGAUCGAAUUUAGCCAAUUCCUUUUGAGGGAUUACUAACCUUGAUGAGAGCUUCAAGAUGAGCCAAAAAUCCCGAGUUAUGGUGGCCGGAGGAGGGAACUCCGGCGUUAUGGCGGCACUCACCGGUCCAGGGAGGGAGCUGGGUGGACAGCCGACAGUUUGAGACUGGUAUGGCAAUCUAUGGCGGCCGGACGACGAUGGACAGUGGCUAGGUCUCCGGCGGGUCGGGAGGAGCUCACGGGAGAGAGAGAGAGUGUGGGUGGGUGUUGGGCUUCUCCACACCUACCCGGUCCAACUUAAACACCCACUAAAUUUUACUCCCUUUUUACCAACUCAAAAUUUACCCUUUUAUUGGAUAACUUUUUCAUGUUAACUCCGAUUUUAACGUAUAGCGUGACUACGAAUUCGUAUUAACAUCCUCUACGUCUUCCUUUAAGAAAUUUUCCCAAAAUAAUUUUCCUACAAAAAGUCAACUCUUGGGUCCUUAAGUAGUAAACGGUUAUUCAAAGCGGUAAAAGACCAAAGUAAUACCAAAAGUAAAUAACUGUAAUUUAAUUUAAGAACCGGGUUGUGACAAUUAGUCACGGCGGCUACACUCACAAAAUGGUUAUCCAUGCUCUCUGGAGAGGGGCUAAUGCUCAUUACACACGGAUAAAAAAGUCUGUGCGGAUAUUUUACAUGGGCCCCACCUUAUAUUCAAAAUCGUAAAUGAUUUAUAAAAUAGGAGAUCAGUGUGAACAACUAUUAGUUCACACAGAUUUUUAUGAGAAAUGAUCUGAACAUUCAAAUUGAUAUUCGUGAGAAACGAUAUAAGCAUUAAAAAAAAAUUAUCUGCAAAUUAAUUAUUAAAUACAUCUGCUAUUAAAUUACUUUUUCUUGAAGAAGAUUUCAACAAAAUAGUGUGAAUCUAUCCCACAACAACAUAUUAGCUUUGCAAAUGCAAAGUAAACCUACUGAUUAUAUAUAGGAACAAUCUAAACAUCCUAACAUAAACUAACUUUAUACAAACAAUGAUUACAUUGACAGCAAGAUGAAAAUUUAAAUCCUUGAUCAUCUCCACUUUUAUCCUUUCAUAUUUUCAACUGUUACAAGAGAAUCAGCUGAAUGCCUAAAAUAUUAGAGAGAUAUUGCUUUAGUUAAAGAAUAAUACUCAUAGAAAGUCUCUUAAAAGAGUUGACAUAAUAAAAAAAAUUACUAGAAACCAUGUUUGUUUCCAAAAAAUAGAUGAAAUUGAAUCACCACAAGAACAAUAGAUGAAAUAAGAGAAGUAUAUACCCCACCUUGAUGGCCUUCUCAGUUGCCUGAAAAUAAUGAAAUACAAAUGUUAUUAGUAUGAAAUAUAUAUAGAAGUGGAAAUUGUUUUAUUAAAAAAUGAAAAUUAGCAUCUUUCAAUCCCAAAUUGUCCAUAUCUCAAUGCCUUGCCGCAAUCUACAACAUAUAUUGAAAAUUGAAAUAACCAAAUUAAUCAGUUCAACCACAUCUCAAUCACCUUGAGAGCGGUAGGAGUGGCAGAGUAAGCCGAUAUCAGCGAUUUAAAAAGGGCAAGGGCGUCCUGGGUCGUCGACAAUUGCCUGCAAUUGCUAGUGACUACGAUUCAAGAACCACAAAACAAAUUAUUUAAGAUCCAACAACAAAUUGAACAUAGAGUAUUAGGAUAAGAUCCAAGAACAUACCUGAAAUGGAUCUAGUUUUUCUUAAAUCCAGAUCGAGAUAGAUAGAUGAAGGGAUAAAGAAAAUGGGGAGAAAGAUAGAGAAAGAGGCUGAUGGUUUGAAUGAAUAAGAGAGGCAGGGGUAUUUUUAGGGUUAGUGUAGACCAAAAUGUUUUUCAUUGACAUAUGUGCCCAAAUACUUUUUCACACGAAAUUCUAUAGCUAUAUAUCACACGGAUGUUUUUUCUUUUUGACAAGAUUUCACACAUAUAUUAGUAGUAAAAACUUAUUGUUACGAAAAACUGUGACUAUUUAAAUCAUAAAAUCAGUAAAUUAAUUAUAAUAUUUUAUAUUCACACAGUAAUCUGUGACUAAAAACUUCUCACACAGAUUUUCGUUGUUGUUCUUAUCACAUAAAUUGAUAUGGGCCCUACGAAACUUAUUCGUCAUAGAAUUUAGUAUCUCUCACAGAUUCCGGUGACUGAUAAUUAGGGGUGGGCAUAAAGCCCGUUGGAGAGAAAAAGCCCGAUUAGGACCGGCCGGCCCGACCGGGUCGGGCCGGGCUUUUUACCGGUCCCUACUAUGUUUAUUGGCGGGCCGGACCAGGCCCGUUUAUCACUGGUCCGGGCCCGGGCCUUGUUUUUGGAAACGAAAAAAAGCCCGAAAUCCCGACUAAUAUACAUGUCAUACUUCUAUUGGGUGUUUCUAAGGAUCUAUGAUAAUAGAAUGAGCUCAACCACACAGGAUUUGUGGUCAAAGACGUAAUUGACUAAAUUAAGAGGGUCAGACUCUCUCAGAGUCUCAGUCUCGCUCUCGCACUCUCGGUCUCUCGCUGUCGCACACUGCCACACUUGCACUCGCACCAGUCGCACACUCUCGCUGUCUCAGACUCUCUCAGUCUCGCACAGUCGCACUCUUGCACACACUACUUCACCGAAAAGCAGCUCGACCAAAGGUCUGCUCCUCUCUCUCUCUUUCUCUCUCUCUCUUCGUAGUUCAUAUCUGCGAUUCUGAAUUUGAGAUUGGCUUUGAUUCUGAUCUGGGUUGUUGUUUCUUGUUUUGAUCGAUUCUUUUGGAGAAGAUGAUUUACAGAAAUUAAGGCUCUUCCUGGAAUUGGGGUUUCGACGUUUCGACGUUUCGUUGCUCUUCGGCCUCUUCCUGGUUCGAGUUUUCCGGCGAGUUCUCUUGGUAUGGUUUCCUUCCUCUUUUCUGGCGAGUUUUCCUUUAUCUUCUCAGUUUAGAUAGAUGGUGAUAGUGAUUGAAGUUUAGAUUGAUGGUGAUAGUGAUUGAAGUUUAGAUUGAUGGUGAUGGUGAUUGAAGUUUAGCUUGAAGUUUAUUGACUUUAGUUGAACUGUUGAAGUGUUUCUCUGCCCUUGACUGGUUUUGUUGAAGUGUUGAAUGACUUGAAUCUAUGUAGUUGGUUUUUGCCUUUUUGGUUUUGAACUGUGAGUAAUCACUAAUCACUAUAAUUGUGAUUUUGUUAAUUAUUGUGAACUGUGAGUUUGUAUAUGGAUAUGUGAAUAAUUGUGAUUUUGUGCACUGUGAGUCUGUGAGUUUGUAUCUUCAUUGUUGUUUGGUUGCAACAAAGGGUUUAGUCUAAACUCUAAACUCUAAACCGUUUAGAUGUCGACGUCCUCUUCAUCGUAUGGCUGCUAUUCAGUCAAUUCUGAUUCAGAGACUGGGUGUUACAAGUCAAACGAAGAAGUUGAAGAAAUUAAAGUACCAGCUGAGACCGGGGAUGAUUUGGUUGCAGUAGAGGCUGAGAACAAGGAGGCAGAACCAGAAGCUCCAGUUGUAGUUGAAGCUCUAGCAGCAACUGAGGUUUCGCGGGGUGCACCGAGAAAAAGAAGAAGAGAUUCUGUUCCAACUCAGCCUAAGGUUUCUAAACUGACUUCAUAUGUGUGGGAACACUUUACGAAGUAUGACAGAGAUCUCUUUACUAAUCAAGAUGGGAAGAAAGUAAAAGUAGGGCAUGAGAAGCGUGCACUAUGCGUGCGUUGUGGUGCUGACCUCAAAGGGGAUACUUCCUUUAACGGUACGAGCACUUUGCGUAGGCAUAUUUAGAAAGUAUGCAAGAAGUAUGCUGGUAGGGAAAGUAUAGAUGAUGGACAAGUUGUGAUUGUUGGGGAUGGUGAAGCCGAACCUGAAAUGCAACUCCAGAAAGGGUGGACCAAUGACCGUUGUGUGCAAGCUGCUUGUGAGAUGAUAAUGAUCGAUGAGCUGCAGUUUAGCCAUGUUGAGAAUGAAGGGUUUAGGCAUUUUUGCAAGGUGGCUGUCCCGCAAUUCACUCCACCAUCUAAGAGAACAGUAGUAAGGUGCUUUUGGAAGUUGUAUGAUGAGAAGAAAGAGGAGCUUAAGAAGGUGUUAAGUAAUCAGAGGUUGUGCUUAACGACAGAUACUUGAACUUCAAUUCAGAACAUCAACUAUAUGGUGUUGACGGCGCACUUUAUAGAUGAUGGUUGGAAUUUGCACAAGAGGAUCAUCAACUUUUGUGUGAUUCCCAAUCACAAAGGCACAACAAUAGGCAAGAUUUUAGAAUCUUGUUUGCUGCGUUGGAGGAUAGAGAAGGUGUUGACUAUCUCGGUCGAUAAUGCAAGUGCAAAUAAGGCGGUGAUAGAGUAUCUUCAAGGGAAAAUGGCUGAAUGGAAAGACCCCCAGUGUUUGGAGGAAAGCACCUUCAUGUGAGGUGUUUGGCUCACAUCUUGAACAUCAUAGUGAAGGCUGGUUUGUCCUUAAUGGAUAAAAGUUGUGCAGCAAUUAGAAAUUCAGUCAAGUAUAUUAGAAGUAGUUCUAAUAGAUUGGACGUGUUCAAGGUGUGCAUGGAGAAGGAGAAAUUAGAAGGGAACAUAGACACUGAAAAAAUACCUGCACUUGAUCUUCCGACAAGAUGGAAUUCUACCUUUUUAAUGCUAGACAUAGCUUUAGAUGUGAGGCCAGCUUUUGAAAGAAUGGCUGCAGAGGAAAUAAACAAGUAUAGAAGCUAUUUUGAUGAAGAAGAUGAGCUCGAUGAGGAAGAAGAACAAGAGUAUGUUCCGGUGACACCAAGAACAAGAAAAACAAGAGUUGGACCACCACAAGAUGAGAAUUGGGAAAAGGUUGAAAUAUUUGUGUUGAUCUUGAGGGUUUUUCAUGAUGUGACAAUGAGGAUGAGUAUGACUAGACACCCCACUGCUCAUAAAGCAUUUCAUGACAUUGUAGCAAUAGAAGGGGAGAUUAAUGCACUUUUUGCGCCUACUGCUGGAACUAGAAGUGAAGUUGAAUUGCUGAUGUUGAAGAUGACAGAAAAGAUGCUUGCCAAGUUUAGAAAAUAUUUUGGACGUAUUGAAGACAUGAAUCAGUUGUUGUUGGUUGCAUUGGUAUUAGAUCCUAGGUCCAAGCUGAAGAACAUAUCUCAUACUUACCUACAAGUGUUCCAUUAUUCACUUGAGGAAGCAAAAGCCAAGACCAACUCUGUUAAGGAGCUCUUGGUUGCCUUAACUGACAUCUAUAGAACAUCAACCAAUGCAUCAACCAAUGACAAUACAUCUUCUAUGAGCAGCACUGCAGCAAGUGUCGUUUUCGGCAGCGCAAAAGAAACAACCUCAUCUUUCAAGUCGAAGAGAAACAGGGCUGUGAAGAUGUCAGGGAAAAUGGCCGACUUGUUGGAAGGUAGUACCUACUGUGUGUUCUGUUUUUGUUAAAAUUUGUUUAUGGCUGUUCUUCAUUUCUUCUUCAAUGUUGAACUUACUGUGAGUUUUGAGAGGCUGUAAGAUAUGGUGUUUCAUAUGUGUUUUGCUGCAGGAUGGCAAAAGGCUUUAGCUGAAUCCGACGAAGUCAUUGUUGAGAGUGAGGUUGAUAGAUACUUGCUUGAUCCAAUCGAGUGUCCACCCAAGAAAGAAGCAGCUAAUUGGUGCCUGCUACAUUGGUGGAAGACAAAUGGCUGCAAAUAUCCAAAUCUUGCUCUUCUAGCAAAGGAUGUACUUGCUAUCCAAGUUAGCACAGUUGCAUCUGAGUCAUCCUUCUCUACUGGAGGUAGAGUGAUUGAUCCUUUUAGGAGUUCUUUAACUCCUAAAAUAGUGGAAGCAUUACUUUGCUUGCAAAAUUGGAUAAAGAAAAAAGAUCAAUCUGAAAUUGAAUAUUAUCCAAGCCAAGCAGAGAUUGAAUUUUAUGAAAAGAUGGAAAGAGGUACAUACUGACACUAUUGUCUGUUUGUGAUUUUGUCUUAAUAUUAUUUCAUUUGACUUGUCUGAUUGUUUCAUUAUUUCACUUUAUUGUAGCUGAGGCAAAGCGAAAGGCAAAAGAAAAGGCUGCAAAGGGAAAGGAAAGGCUAAGCUAGUGGGUGUGGCAGAAAGUGAAGAUGAUGAAGAUGACGAAGAUGAAGUGGCACAAUUUGUGCCAGCUAAGCCAGCUAGAACCUCAAAGUCCUUAAAAGCUGCAAAAGUAGCUAAAACAAGUGCUAAUGCAACUCCAACAAUUCCAGCUGUUCUUGGUGUUGGAACCUCCAAGUCCAAUCCUGCAAAAGUUCUUAGAAUGACUCUUGCAACAAAAAAAGCAAAAGGUAUACAUCAGUAUUUCUUAAUUGAAGCAAAUUCUUACUCCUCAAUCAAUCAUUAAUUUAUACUGUUAACUUGAGCUUGAUGUAUGUGAGUUGGUUAUAUGUGACUUUUGAUUUUGAAUACUAUUGUUCUAUUUUUUCCAUACUUCCAUUUGUUCACUGUUAUAUUCUUCAUUUCUUAUAGACUAAUAUUCAAUUAUUCUCUUACAGGUAAAAGAUGAAGGGCAUGUCGGCAACUGAAGUUAUGAACUCACAGCAUAGCUAGACUGCAUAUCAGCAGGCUUGUCAAUGGAGAUAACAGAUUGAUGCCUUGAUUUUGUUCAGCUACUUUGAAUGUUUGAUUGCUUACUGAUUACUUAUUUUUGUUGUGAACUGUUGGACUAUUGGUAUUGGAUACUUGCCUACUUAGUCCUCUACUCCUCUUGGAGUUUUAUUUAAUAUUUGUUGUUUAAAAUGACUUCUCUGUUAAUUUGUUAGUGCUGGACUGAUGAUUUUAAUUAAAUUCAGUUGUUGAGAACUUGAGAUUUGAUUGCUUUGUAGCCUUUGCUAGUUUUUGCUGUGCUUUUACAGUUUACUGCUUUAUGCUUUUGUUGAGCAGUUGAACAGUUGAACAGUUGAACACUUGGUCAGUUGGUCUGGUUUUGCUAUUGCAGAUUUGCAGUUGAGUUGUCAGUUCACUCAGUUGUGUGCACUGUGCAGUGUGUUGAGCUUUCAGUCUUGCACAUUCCAGUGAUUUCAUAGUAUAAGUCUUAUAGAUUAUGCAGAUAAGCAGAUUGCAUUGCAGAUUUGGCAAUGGUAGAUAAGCAGAUUUGCAUUGCAUUUCAUUUCAAGUUAUCAGGCCCGCAAGCCCGACAGGACCGGCCCAGUUCUUGCCGGUCCGGGCUUUUACCAGGCUCUAAAAUUCUUGCGCCGGUCUGGGCUUUUUCCGGGCCUUGAAUUUGAAACAAUAAAACCCGGUCUGGUUAGAGUGUGUCCGGUCUGGGCCCGGCCCGGGCCCUGUAAAAUAGCAGCCAAGCCGGGCCGGGCCCGUGCCCAGCCCUACUGAUAAUAAUAUGUGAGAAUUAAAUCUGUGUGAAUUGUUUUUUUGCUAGUAGUCUGAAGGACGUUUAAAUCACAACUUAGAAAAAGAGUGACAGCUAUGUAUAUUACUAAACUAAGCCUAUCUCAACUCGUCCAAAACUAUUCUAAAAAAAAAAAAAAAACUGAGAUAAUAUAUGGAUCUGGUUUGAAAUCUGACAAGGACGUCAUAUCUCAAAAGAGACUAAACUGAGAUGGUGAUCACACCUCUCCUCUAGUGGUGUAAUAUUAAGGACCUAUACACAGCUUGCAUCCAUACUCUGCUGCCUCCAACAAAUCAAAAUUCCAUCAAUAAUCAAAAUUCCAUCAAUACAACUCAAUCUAGCUAAACACACCAAAACUUCAAAACAGAAGUAUCACUACCUCUCCCAUAUUAUGCGCGCAAGAGUGCCAGAAAGUGCAUGUCCCUCCCUUCAGCAUUCUCAAAAGUAAACAGCUUCAGGUCACAGUCACCCUCCAAAGGCCUGGUCAUGUCCCACAGUACUCCAUUGACCUCAGAAAUUAAAGCAUUGGACGCCAAGCUCUUGGAAAUCUCCUUCACAACGUCGAAGGGCGAAGUAACCCACUUCUUCCCCUCCUUCACCUUCCCGUCCAGCAAUGUAAUCCUAAAACCAAGUCAAAAAGUCCACAACAAGAAUCAAAAUCAUUCAGACCACCGCUGAUGGUCUCCGCUAGGGUUUAGGGUUUGAACAAGACUCAACAGAAUCAAAAGACCACCAACACACAAACAGUACUGAUGGUCUGAGUUAGGGUUUAAGGAUCGAAAGAAGACUCACUUGAUUGGAUCAGAAGGGAGAGCUGCAUGCCUAGCCUGGAUUUCCAUGAAGAGCCGGAUGCGCUUGGGAACUACGUUGGUGAGGUAAGCGUCGUCUUUGGGGUGAGACACCAUGGCGGCGGUGGUAGGGAGGAGAAGGCUUUUUGGUACGGCGGAGGAGUCAGAGGGGAGAGUGAGGGAGGGUUAAGGUUACGGCGGAGGCGGCUGAUAUAGAGGUUUUAUAGAGCAUAUAGUUUGAGAUUUUGUGACCCCGCUUUUAUAUUGUUUCAGUGUUUCAUACCUAAACGAGUUGGGCUUAUUAACCAAAAAAUGAUUUGGGUUUAGUAUUUGUUGGGCUUAAAUGUGAGGGAGGGUCCAUUUAGGGCGGUAAAUAGACUCGAUGAAGCUCGAGGUUGAUCGUUUGCGGAUCGUUUUAAUUCGUUCGGCUCAUGUUUAUAAGAUGAAUUACCCGAGUUCGAGUUUCAGGUUCAGUCGAUGCGAAAACAAGCUGAGCUUGAACUAUGAUAUAUUUGGUUCGUCAAGCUCAUGAGUAGUUGAUUGAUUUCAUGAGUAAGUCGAACUUGUUAAAUCUCAGCUCAUGAAAGUUUACUGUAAUUUUUUUUCUUAUGUAUGUGAGCACCAAAACUCUUUGUUAUGUGCACCAAAAUAAUUUUGUUCGACGCGAGUUUUCUUUGGUAGUAUGAUGCUUCAUCCGGUAGUGCGCCCUUGGGGCGUCGUCGUUGGACAAACCUUUAAGGGUUUAGUGCCCAUUGGCGGAAGUCCGUAAUUGCCGUGACAACGGACAAGGAAAAGUGGAAGACUGCUGGCGUUCGAUGAUGGCAGAUCGAUCUCGAUCUAGCCUUAUUAGAUCGUGGCGAGAAAGAGGUGAGGAGCAGCGAUGUAGGGUUUUCGGCCGACGACAGGAUCUGGUGUCAAUGCAAUUGAGAUAUUGGCAUAGAUGAUUUCGAAUGGGAUUUUCUUCAGGUUGGGUUUCAAGCAAUGAUGGUAGCUAGGAUUGCAAGUCCUCUGUGGUGCAGUGACGCGGUAAGACGACGUUGUAGUGUUGUACUGCGUUGCAACGUUGUGAUGACGUAAAAGGGUUCAGGGUUGUUGGUGCUGAUACAUAUGCGAGUUGGGCUUCACCCUAUGUUCAUUUGGGUCUAUUUUUUUUUAUUGUUGUUUUUUAUUUAUGUCUUUUAGUUUAUUUGCGCGUUAUGCGAGUAAUAAGUCUUUACAUUAGUUUUGUAUGGCUAGUCAGGCUAUGUGUUUGUGUGUGCACUCAGUGUGCCUUAUUUGUUCUAGGUAGGCCACAAGUUCCUUGCUUUGUCAAAUAGUCGUUACUGUUUAGUGGUUUGGUGAAGCUAAGUGUCGUUGGAAAUAUCUUCCAACUGCAACAUAGGUGGAAAGCUGAAUUAUUGGACAUUAAGAUGUAUAAACGUGUUACAUAUCUAGUUAUCUUUCUAGUAUGUGACUGCUGUAUGAAAGCAAAUACAGUUGUCUUUAGAGCAGUGCUCUUUGCUAGUUGGUGUCUGGUUUAGUACAUGAUCCCUAUGCCAUUUCCUGCAUCAGGCAACACCAAUCAAGCGACACAAACAAAAUUAAGUAUGGUUCGAGGUUUCGGGGCAACACAUUUUUUUUCUAUGUUGGUGGAAUAUGCACUUAAACAAUACUAAUUUUCUUUGAAAAAAAGGUAUGUUUUGAGGACAAUACAUAUAUGUUGGUGAAGAAAAAUGUCUGUUUUAGUCUCAAUUGUCAAAAUGAAAGUUACAUUCAGACAACACUUAUAGAUCGUCUAGCUGUGAAGGUUAUCUUUUCUCAACUUUUGGAGGGAUUUCCAAAUUGACCAAUACUUGUGUGAAAAUUUUAAUCAUGUUAAUCCGACAACAUUUAUGUGUUGUCUAAUAUUGAAUUUGCAACUUGUGUGAAAAUUUUACUUAAUUAUGUUAAUAAGACAACAUUUAUGUGUUGACUGAUAUUGAAUUUUAUUGAAUUGACAAUUUGUGUGAAAAUUUUACUUAAUUAUGUUAAUAAGACAACAUUUAUGUGUUGGCUAAUACUAGAAUUUCGUAAUUUCUGACUUUGGAGGUAAACCCUAGCCUUUUAACUUAGGUGGAUUCCCUCCAAACCAUUUGAUUUUGCAGACAAAUUUUUUUGUUAAUAAGAUAACGUUUAUGUGUUGGUUGAUACUGGAAUAAUGUAAUUUCUGACUUUGGAGGUAAACGAAACCCUAGCCUUAAUUUUAACUUAGGUGGAUUCCCUCCAAACCAUUUCAUUUUGCAGACAAAUUUUUUUGUUAAUAGGACAACAUUUAUAUUUUGUCUUAUAGUUACUUUUUAGUUUCUGAAAUACCUUUGGAGGGAAUACCCUCAACAAUUGAGUUUGGUUCCCCCCAACAUUUGAUUUUGUAGCUAGACAAAUAUGUUGGUGUGUUAGGACAACAUCUAUGUGUAAGGAAAAGAGGCGCAAUUCUUGAAAAGAAAGGCGCACUUUUUGAAAAAUAUUGGCGCACUUGCGCAUUUUGACCUAAAACAAGUCUGGAACCCUAAGGAAAUUUCUAGUUCAGUCUUGAAAAAUUGGUCGCAAGGGUAAAAUAGACUUUGCAUGUGCUUGAGUAUAAGUAGAUUAGUGGGAACCCUAAAACUCUCAUUUUUCUCUCCCUCUUCCUCUUAGCCGUCUCUCUCUCUCUCUCCUCUUCCUCAACAAGUCUCCCUUCCUCACUGCCCUUGUCGGAAAAGGCACUCCGGCCACCAUCUCGCCUCACUACCACCGCCAUCACACGCCACACAUCACCUUGAAUAAAAUCUUACCCAUAUUGAUGGCAAGUUUCAGGUCUAGCCACCACCUACAACCAUCAAACCUCGGCAAUCAAGCCUUAGCCCCAACUUUCGGUGACUUUCUUUGUCAUGACUCACCCCGAAUUUCACUUUGAAACCCGAAGUAAAUCCUGCGGGGACUACCUCCAAGGAAAAAUUUACCAAAAAUUCGGCAUAAUCUCCCUUGAAAAUGGACAACCCUUCCUAAUAAUACCUGCAUACACUUCUGAAAAUCCAAAUCCAACCUUAAACUCUUGGAGCCUUCGUGCUCCUCAAAUCACACAUCUCCCAAUUUAUUUACUAACUUUAAAAAGAAAAUCUCAUAACCAACAACCACAGUUCAGAGCAACUCUAUUUGAGAGGAAAGGAACUAGAAAUAUAAAAAUGAGCGGAAGCUAUACUAUUGACUAUGCCUCUUCUCCAUGUACGCUUGACCUCAACUAUGUUAACCUGCAUACUGGGCAUUUUAAAAACGAAAGGCCUAGGGGAAAACAUUUGAAAAUGUUAGAGUGAGUGGACAAAAAUGAAUUUAAUGAAAAAAUAUUUAUGUUUUCCCAAUUUAAAUUUCCAUAGAAAAUAAGCUGCAUACGACAACUCAAAAACAAUUAGCAAUUACAUGACUAGCUCCGGCUAGUCUCCAAACUAAAUAAAAUAACGCUCACAUCACACCAUAAUGAAAUUUUACUUCAUUAUGGCGGAAAAGCAUGAGUGUAUAUACGUGUGGACUCCCUAUAUGAAAAUCUAUAUGAACUAGAUAAGAAAGUAGUUUUCAUAUAGGGCUAUGAAGCUUGUGUCUAACACUCACGUCACGCCAUAAUGGAAUUUUACCUCAUUAUGACGGACCAAGCACGUAUAGCUAGCUAGCAUUUAUAUAAAUACUAUCCUCAUAAACAUCCAAUAAACAUAUCCACCGAAAAUGUAACUCUCCAAAAGAUGAAAAUUGCCAAAUAUCAAAGAAAGCAAUAAAUUUCAGCAGAAGAAUAACCGAUCAACAAUAUAAUGCAUCGCAUGCUUUUAAUUAGAACAAAAGCCCACUCACAAUUUUAGGCAUAAGCCCGAUGAAAUUCAAUUCACCACUCAAGUGAGGUCUCCUCAAAUUCUAGCACAAAAACCAUACUUAGGAUCACACUUCAAUUUCAGAAUAAAAUAAUACUUAAAUAUAUAACCCAAAACUCUUCCGCCUAACCCACUACCUUUUCUAGGGUUAAGCUUAUCGGAUUCACGCCAAAUUCCAACCACAGCCUUAUUUCUUUUAUUUCAACAUUCUAAAACAAUAAUAAGGAAAAUCCAACUGUCAGAUUCUACCCCAUUAACAGCCAAAUUCACCAAUCUUUCAAAAAUCCCAAACCUAUCCAAAACUCCUCCAAAAAUUCUAAACUUCAUACCAUUAAACUCUCCUUAAUAUUACACAUUUAAAAUCAUAAAAAUUCCCCUAACAGCGGCGGCCGACGGCCGACUCCGGCGACCUCCAAUGCCUACCAAAUUUUAACAACAUCUUCCUCUCAACCCACUCUACAACUUUCCUAACUAGCACAAACACCAAUUCCAAGCCUAACUAGGUCAAUCAAACAAAAAUAUAGAAUUGAGCCCUAGAAUUUCCAACACCAAAAUCUCCUUACCUAGACCAAGGGGGAGUGAAACCUUUGGAGGGCUUGCUGCACGGGAGGAGGGCUUUCAAACAAGCCAAGUGGCUCCAGCUAUGGCGGCCGGAGGAGGGAGUUCCAACAACGGGGAGUUUUUGGGCAGUUGGGACUUCCGGCGAGUUUCCUCCCGAUCGGCGGCGCUAGGGGCUCAGUCACCUACCCAAAAAUGAAGAGGGGAAGGUGGUGGUUCGAUGGGGACCAACUUGGCGGCCGGAGCUAGCCAGACGGCGGCGGACGGGCGAGGAGAAAGUCCGGCAGGGAGAGGACUCGGGGAGAGAGUCGGGUGGGAAGAGAGAGAGAAGAGAAAGAGAGAGUGAAAUUGUUUUUGGGCCUCCACACCCCAUACCGGUCCAACACCUUAAUACCCACACUAAAAAAAAUAAACCCAACUCCAAAAAUAACACCACGAAAUAAUACUCCAAUAAAAAUUACCUUUUACUAGCUAAAAUUUACCAUUUUUACCAUUGUCAUACUUUCUCCUACGAAUAACUCCUCUGAAAUAAUCGUCCCCAAAAACCCCUCUAGGGACCUUUAAGACUAUAAACUUAUUUACGAAGACGGUAAAACUCUUAUUAACACCAUGCUAGUAAAUAAGGUAAAAAUUUAAAAGUCGGGAUGUGACAUUCUUCAACCACCAUCUUGUCCGGCGACUCAGAUCAAGUCGAGGAGCAAAACCAGAAGCCUUGAAGCCCGACAACGCUGUACGCGCCUCCGCUGGCAGUUCAAGUUUCUUGGUUAGGGAUCUCAUCUACAACCACCUCUGGACUUCACAGCCACCAUGGGUGAGACCAACACCUCAUCCCACUGUUGAGACCCUCUAGUUUGACCCUCUGAUUUCUUGUGUGCCGCCUCACGUGCCGCCGCUAGAGCGUGGGCAGCCUUAGCUUCGCCGUGAGCUUCGUCAGUUCCAACUCCUCACUUGGUAAACUACGUUUCACUCACUCCUCUGAGUCGAGUUUGUUAUUUAGGAAUUUGAUGGGAUAGCUAAUCCUACUGUUUUGAUUAUAUGGGAGGUUUUGUGUUUACUUUCGAGUACGUUGUGGAUAUGGAGAUGAGGAGAACGGAGAGCAGUCAUGAUUUAAUUGGUUCACAGUUGGAUAAGGAGGGUAAGGUCUAUGCUCAGUUGGUGUUAAUAAGAUCAUUGGUUGAUAAUUGUGGUAGGAGUUCAUGGGAAUCGUCUUGGACAAGAGUUGAUAAUUAUAAUGGUUGUUCAUUUUUGAAUUUGUUUUAUGUUCUUGUUUGAUUGAGUUUUCUUCCAAUUAAAACAACAAACCUUCAAAAUUGAUAAUUGAUUUUGGGUUUUUUGUACUUGUUUCUUAUUUCAGAAUACCCUAAUGAGCUUAGUUUUUGGUUUUUGUCAUACUUAAUUGUAAAUGACCAAACAGAAAAUUUCCUUCGUUUGCUUUUAUGUUUUCUUUUUCCUUCUUAUGACAGGGUAGCUGAGAGCUGCAAAUUGUUGAUGUUUCAGGCAAUGGAUUUGUAACUGCCAAAGCCACAUUGGUAUCUGUCAUAUUUCUGCUAAACAUUCCUCUUUUAUAAUAAACAUCUUUUGGUAGCUUUCUUUUGAAUUAACUCCUUUAUGUCCAUUUUUCUAUGUUGCUGGUACGCAAAUAAUUUAUUCUCAGCUUUUGCAUAUGAAUCCUAAGAAGAUAGGUAUUUAUCACCAGUUAGUUGAAGUAGAAGUGUUCCCCUAGUUCAUUCAGAUUAUUGAUGUGGUUAUGGAACUUAUUUGCAUAUAUUGAAACCGAGGCUGCCUUUCUCUUUAAGUUUUUAUAUUUCUUUAUCUGUGCACUUUUAUCAGAAUCAAUUAUUGUCUUGAUGUAGCAAAUUUGAUCAGGAUCUUCUUUAUUAACUAGGAAGUGGCUGUAAGGUAAAGGCGAGGGUUCGUUGCAUCUAUCAUCUACUAUUGUCUUGUGAUCAUUUUAGUAGUAUAAAACAUCAUGUUCCUUGCUAUGCAAGUUGUAGAUUUGUAUGUUAUGAAUGCAUUUGGCUUUGACAAUUCUAGUGGCUGUUAAUGAAGAAAGCAUCAUUAGUUCUAUUUCCAUAUUUUGCUUUAUAGAAUUGGUGUGUUUGUUCAGGUCUUUUCUAUAAAUUUGUGACCAUUUCAUUGUGUUGUAAACUUCAUUUUCUUUUCGAUGCAAGUAGUAGAAUCUAAUGUCCUGAAUGAAUUUGACUUUGACAGUUCAAGUGGCAGUUACCGAAGAAAGCAUCACCCUUGUUUGUCAUAUCAGAUCUUUUGUUUGUUUUUCUAUAAUAAUAUUAGAUUAAUAUCACCCUUGAAACCAUCAACAUCUUGACUUUGCCUUGUUAUUUUCGUUAUAUAAGAAGAGUAUGAUUCUCAUUGUUGCAUAUGCAUUACUCAUUCAUGAAACGUUCUAUACAAACCUUUGUGAGUUUGAUUGUUCCUUUCUUGAGUUUUUUCUUGUCAAUUGCAGAUGAGAAGUGGAAGUUAAUUUCUUCUGUUUGGUUCAACUGUAGAAAGAAAAUAAUCAGGUAAUACAUUCUCAUUCUCUUUGUUUUCUUUCUUGAUAUUUCUUUACCUAUUUCAUUUCUUCUUAGAUUCUGUUAAAUCUCAAUGUGGAUAGCUUGUACUACUUUUGGCUAUAGUUAAUUUUGGGUUACUCACAUAACUAGUGGAUAAUAAAAUUCUAGCUUUGGUACACUUUCAUCAUGCAUAGUUUGUAUUACAUUUGGCUAUAUCAAUUGUUAUGUUAUACAUUAUUAUUGCAAGAUGGGAUGACUACACACUUUGAAAAGCUCUAACUUUGUGUACACUUUCUAUUGACUCAAGAAAAUAUGUGAACACCAGAAAUGUAAUAAAUUUGGUUGUCUUGUUCCUUUACCUAACGAUCUGUUAGGGAACAAGGGUACAUUAUAUCUUGAGUUCUGUUGUAAGUUUGAUUUGGUAAAAUUUACAGUUUGUCUAUAAUUUGUUGUUUACUAUGUAUCAGUUUGUUAUAUAUAUGUUGAUAUGAAAUUUCAGAUUACCUUUAAUAUUUGCAGUUCAGCUCAAUACAAAGAUGCAAUGCAAUUGUUGGAAGCUGGUUUGGAUGAAUAUAUUAGCUUUGUUUCUAAAUGAAGAUCUGACAUAAAGAGUAGAUCAGCCUGAAGGGGAAGGGCCAAUGGACUAUGUACCUCAACUAGUCUGCUCAUCAUCCUUCAAGUUAUAUUCAUAAAGGAGAUAUUUUGGAAGGUCUGGAUAUUUUUCUAAUUUGAGUAGUACUGCUAGAUGUGUUUAGUUAUAUAGACUUGUUUCUCAGUAAGAUUUGUAAAUAUAGUGGAAAAGUACAAAAAAAUUGUUGGCUGAGACAAUGUAUGACUUGCAUAAUCUUCUGAUUUAUGAAUGUCAUUUAUUAUUUUGAUUAUAAGCUAUGUGUGAUACCUAUUACUUGUCCAAGCUGAUGUUGAAUGUAUGAUAUUUUAAAUGCUGCACAAAAAAAAAAGAAGACAAUAGCACCAUGAAAUGCUAUUGUAUUGUAUAUAUAGCGUUUGUUAAAAGAAAUGUGAGGCCAUAAAGAACAACCGGCAACAUAAGUGGAGAGUUUAAAUCAAAAGAAGACAUCACUUAUAUGUAGCUCAAGCUCAUUCAUACGAUAGACAAAUGUCACCUGAAAAUGUCGAAAGCCUAAAAGAUAUCACGUAGUGAAAGCUUAAAGCAUAUCAGACGACAGAUACCUAUUGUCUUAAAGAGACCAAAUGAAAAAAGAAAAAAUAUACGUUGCCUGAAGAUCAUUCACCCAAUGCAUAUGUGUCGUCGUACUACGUCUAGACCAGAAACAACAUCAAUAGUAUGUCGCUAAGUUGCACGGACACAGACACGGACACGACGACACGACACGGUGACACGGCAAAACUCAAAAACUGAGUUUCCGACACGGCUUGGACACGGCAAACAAAAUUAUAUAUUUAUGUCUUUUUAAUAAAUAAAAAAUAUACUAAAAUAUGAAAUAAGUUCAUUACAUUAUCAAAUAAAGUUCUAAAUUAAAUCUAUUUCAUAACCAUAAGAAAUAAGUCAAGUGCAUAACUAAUAACAUUAAAAACAACAUACCUCUAGCACCUAAAAUAUAACAUUAAAGAAAAACAAACUUGAGCAGUAGCUUGUUUUCAAACAUGACAAUCUCAGUAGCUUGUUUUCAAACAUGACAAUCUCUAGCACAGUACCACCUAAUAGACAAGAAGAUGAACUAAUAUAAUUAUCAUAUCCAUAAUCUGUAAUAUCCCGAAAUUUCGGUUUUCUAUUUUUAAAGAAGAAAAUUAAUUUUCGAGUUAUUUUAUUUCGAUUUUAAUUAUUCUUUCAAUUCUUUGUGGCUUUCAAAAAUUAUUCAAAUUUUUGGUUUGUCAAAUUUUGUCUUUUGAGCCCAUUUGAUUAAACUGGACGUUGUUACGAAUUCGUGGGAUUUUUCGGAGCAUAGGAGCUAUUUUUAAUGAUUUUUGGAAGUUGGUAUUAUCUAAAAAUUUAAUUAAAAAUAGAAAUAUUGGUGGUUGGAUCUGGGCCGUUGGAUUUGAGAUAUAUAGAGGUAGGAGUGGAUUAGCUCAAGCCCAGACCGACCUCGGUCUCGACUGCUCUGCAACGACGCCGACUGCUCCUCCUCAUCCGGCGGUCUCUCGGCAUCAGCCGGUGGCCACGGGUCCGUCUCGUCGUCCCCGACCUCCCUAUGAUUCUAGUUUGAAGAGUGGAGCUCCGGUGAGAGAGAAAAGGAGGAGAGAAGGCGAUUGGGUUUCCGGUCGAGUUUGUGAUUCCGGCCACGGCGGCGAGCGUGACCGGUAUUGGUAGCUUCCUCUCGUCCUCCCCGACGUCGCUUUGGUAUUGGAUUUCCAUGGGAAGCUGAGGAGAGAGGGAUUCAAAGAAGGGAAAAUUUUCUCGGUUCGCCGGCGAGUUUCCAAUUCCGGCAGCGUCGACGCCUCUCACCGGUGUGGAUAGUUUGGUCUCCUCAUCCUCGACGUCCCUGUGACUUCAGCUUGUCGAGACAAGGUCAGGUGAGGGAGAAUCGAAGAGGAAAAGUUUCUAAAUUUUCCGGCGGUGGUGGAGGUGUUUUGAUCCAUUUCUGGCUUUUUGAGUAUAUUGAAUUGGUUUGAGAGAUUGUAGAGGCUUGAGUUUUGAGGAAUUUGGGAUUUUGGGCAGUGUGUGCAGCUGCUGUGUUCGGCGGCGAGAGUGGCGGACUGGCGGUGGUGGGGUGUGCGCUGUCUUGGCGUGUUGCAAUGCCGUGUCGGGGCUGGUCAACGUGUCCGAGACGUGUCGAAAAAGUCAACUUUUUCGGACACGCCACGUGGCGUGUUGGACACGUAUUUUGCCGUGUCGGGCGCCGUGUCGGCGUGUCGGAGUGUCAGACACUCCGACACUCCAAGGGUGUGGAGUGUCCGUGCAACAUAGGUAUGUCGUGUGGGUUCAUCCAACGAUACAUAAAUAUAGCAUGGAAAAGUUUAAAUUCUAAUUCACUAAGUAUAUGUUGCCUGUAACAUUUUCACAUGAUGUUAAAUGUCGGCUUUAAACAAAUUAACCUACACCUAUAUGUUGUUGUAAGGCGUAUUUCUCUCUCACUCGCAGUUAUAAGGUGACACAAAGAGUUGUGUCGCCUCACGGCAAAAAAAAAGAUACGUCGCUUGCUAGCAUGUCGUUGUUUAAACUAUCAGGCGACAUAUAUACCUUGUCGUUUAAUCUCAAUUCAGGAGACAUAAAAUGAAAAAAGUCUUCUAUCGUCUGAGGUUCUUAUAGGCGACACAACAUUUGUGUCGUCGGAGAACCUCAUCAAUGACAUGCUAGAAGGCGACACUUACGAUUUUUAUCAGGUGACACAACAGUUGUGUCGCUUGAUGCAGGAAAUGGCAUAGUGGAUUAUUGUAAAGUUUCUUAUUAUUAUUUUAGGUCUUUGUAAUCAAGGGUUCAGGCUCAAUGUUUUCUCCUUGUAUUCAACAAUUUCAUUCAUUAAGGCUUGAGGUCAGCCGCACCCAACCAUUUAUUACCACCAAAAUUAGAGCAUCCCCUUUUGCCCAAAAUCCAAAUAUAUCAAAUUUCUGAUACGGGUGAAGAACAAGAGUAUCAACACAAAGAAUUGAGCUUUUGGAUAAUGAAAGGUGUCACAAGGUUAUAGGUUUUCCCUAAAUUUUCACCCUUGUGAUGGCGCCAAGCAGCCCUCGCCUACUUGACCAGCCAACCCUUUCACUCAAUUGCUUAGUACACAGCAGAAGACUUUCAACUAAUUAGCAAUGAGAAAGCUCACACACACACAAUCAACGCACAAGUGUUUACGGAAGGUAUCUCGCCCUUCCAACCUUUAAUUCUAUUAAAGGAUUACAAGAGUAUAACGAGUAACUCCGGCUACUCACUAGUUCCUCCUAUAUGUCUUGGGCUUCUCUUCCCAAUAACUCUAUAUGUCCAUGACAACCCCAUUGGACUAGGUUUAUAUGCACACUCUAGGUGCAUGGCAAUUGACAACCCCAACUGCCUAGGGUUAUGUGGCAGCAUGCAUGCAUGCCAAGCAAUUUAUGCAACUUCCCUUUGUGAGCCCACUACUUGUAACCAUAUGGUCUUAUCCUCAUUGGUAACUUCCUUGCAUAAGUAACCUCCCACUACUUUGGCAACCACCUUGUAAGUAACCACCCACUACUUUGGCAACCACCUUGUGUAAGUAACCACCCACUACUUGUGUGGAUGACUUCCAUUACUUGGUAACCGCCUUGUGUAGUAACUUCCCACUACUUGGUAACCGCCGCGCAUGAUGCUCCCCACUUCGUGGUAACCACCAUGCGUAGUGCUUCUUGGAUAACUGCCCACUACUUGGUAACCGCCGCCCAAGUGUCACACAUGCCAUGCAUGUAGGAAGCACGUCGUCGCAUGUCUACGCACCCGACCUUGAUGCCCAUGCACGCUGAACGCGCACAUGGUGCUAGCUUGCCGCACCUUGCCUGCCUUCGAACCCUCAUGCGUGCCAUCCUUAUGCAGCCCACGCCAUGCCAUUGUGUUGCCUAACCUAACAAAUGGUCUUUGUCAUCAGUGCAUGCACUCUUGUGCUCAUGAGGCUCGCACCCUAUCGGACCCUAGGGUGCUGGAGAUAUCACACCCAUCCGCUGCGCCCUUGUAGUACACCUUAUUGAACCCUUUACGGACCUUUAGGUGCAUAGGUGCUGCGCACCCUGUUGUGCACCUUUGCCGCGCACCCUGUUGGACCCUUGCCGGACCCUGGGGUGCCUUAGUGCUACACACCCUGCCGCGCACCCUUGCUGCGCACCCUGCUGGACCCUUGAUGGACCCUGGGGUGCAUGAGUGUGGUGCACCCCGUUGUGCACCCUAAUGGACCCUUGUCGGACCUUGGGGUGCAUUAGUGCUAUGCACCUUGGUUGUGCACGAUGUUGCGCCUCCUUGCACUAACUUGCCUUGCAUUCUUGCGCAUGUCUUCGACACCUGCGCGUGCCCUUUGUCAUGAUCACUCAAACCUUGUUGCUUUACUUGCAACAACAUAUCGGCACCAUAGCGAACUUUGGAAGUCUUCCAACCACCUGCUCCCUGCAACACACUCGAGUGUCUUCGUUGCUUCGCUACUUUUGUUAGCACCAUUCGAUGAAGUGCUAGUGCAUGAGGCUUUGCACUAGCUUCCAACUCCACCAUGCACAUGGUCUUUGUCAUUAGUGCAUGCACUCUUGUGCUCACGAGGCUCGCACCCUAUCGGACCCUAGGGUGCUGGAGAUAUCACACCCAUCCGCUGCGCCCUUGUAGUACACCUUAUUGAACCCUUUACGGAUCCUUAGGUGCAUAGGUGCUGCGCACCCUGUUGUGCACCUUUGCCGCGCACCCUGUUGGACCCUUGCCGGACCCUGGGGUGCCUUAGUGCUGCACACCCUACCGAGCACCCUUGCUGCGCACCCUACUAGACCCUUGAUGGACCCUGGGGUGCAUGAGUGUUGUGCACCCUGCUGUGCACCCGGCUGCGCACCCUGAUGGACCCUUGUCGAACCCUGGGGUGCAUUAGUGCUAUGCACCUUGGCUGUGCACGAUGUUGCGCCUCCUUGCAUUAACUUGCCUUAAUUCCCCCACACUUAGCUUUUGCUAGUCCCUUAGCAAUUAGCAAAAUCAAAACAACAAGACUCAAAAACAAAAAAACAACAAAUAACGAACAAAACCUACUGCCCUUAACUAUUGUCUCAGAUUCUCCAAUCUCAUGGCAUCCAACUUAGCACUCAAUCAAGAAUUAUUCCAUGAAGUUUCAGAAGCUAAUUGCCAUGCAUAGAUCACAUAUUUACAUGUAGGACAUGGAAGAACAGUGGUGAUGGUUAAGCUCAGCAUGUUUCAGACAAAUAUGAUUCAAUCUCACAAGAUAUGCACUCAUUUUUCACACAGAUUUUCUGGCUGGGUCACUCAAAAUUANNNNNNNNNNNNNNNNNNNNAAAAAGUUUCGAAAGUUCACAAGAGUGAGUUCUAGUCAUCUCUAGUUCAUUAAAAGCUAUGGUGAGCAAUCAAUCAAAUUGAAAGAAUAAUGAGGUUUUUCAAACAAUUGUAGCCAAGAAAACGAAUCAGAAUAUUUCUAAAAGCACUCAGAAAGAAUGGUACAUAUAAAGGCUCAAAAGCUCACAUUAGGGUUCAUAUGAAUCAAAAUCUGACUUAACAUGCUCAUUUCUGUACCAAAGUUUCAAAACCACAUCCAAUACAUUUCAUAGAUUUCCACUCAUUGCAAUUAACUUCAGAAUAUCAGUUGGAAAUCAUCUCAAUCUUGUGAUCUGUCCUUUAUAUAUUUAGAGAAUUAUGCUCAUCAUAGAUAGUUAAGGGCUCCUAAGACUCAAAAAUAAAACAAAAGACUCAAAAAAACAAAACGAAAUUUUUUAAAUUUUAGACAUUUUUCAAUUUUUAUGAAUUUUCAAUAAAUGACUCAAUAAACAUGUAAAUCCUCAAAAAUUGACGUGCUCGAAACCGGGCUCGUAAUUUAAAAACCUUUUUGUUAUCAGUAUGUAGUAUUGGCAAAUAGGGUUCGAUCAAUCCGGGGACCUAAAGGGCGCUCCUGCAGUCAUGGUUACACUAAAGAAUUAGUAACAGAAAGUAAUCACACGUAUUCAGUUACAAAUAUAUACACAGUACAAUAGAUAAAAAGGGGGGGUUUUCAAGGUUUGUUUACUAAAUUCCUACGAAAAUAGUAGGGAAAAGAACUAAACUACUAUUUACAAGUGAUCGACUUCCAACUCACACAAACAUAUAAAAUCAUGUAAACAGGUUGUUUCAAGCUAUACAACUUAAAAAUCAUGCCAAUCAAGUAUUAUGAAACGAAUCCAGAAUUACACGCCUCAGCGGUCAUGCAACCUAUAAUAUCUUCUUAAGUAUCAUAUGUUUGCCUCAGCGGUUUAACACAGCAAAUUCCAUGCAAUAUGUCAUGUUAUUACUCAGCGCAACCAUACAACAUAUAACAUGAAUCAUUAAGAACAAAGAAGAAUUUGAACACAUAAACAUGUUUAUCUCAGCGCUUAAACAAGUCUACAUGCAACUCGUGAUCAAACCCGACCCAUUCCCAUGAAUCUAAGUUUUCGCCACUUAUUCAAUCUGUGUUUGCCUCAGCGGUUUAACACAGAUCAAUAGCACUACCAACCCUGCAGAAGUCAGCAAUUUAAAUAACCAGAUCACAAGUUUUCAAUAACAAGAAUGACAUGACGAUCAGUUAUGCAAAUCUCAUAAACAACUUAAAACAUGACUUUGUAAAUCUGAAAAUUAAUAUAACCAUAUUCUCAACAUCAAUCUCAAUCCAAAACGUAGGAAUUCUAAGAAUCUAACAAAAGAAAAUACUACAGAACAGAGAGAGAUCGAUUGAGGCAUUGUUACACUUUUUAUUCUCCACAGUGACUUUCUGAAGAACACCAAGAUAGAGCAAGCUUCAAUGGAUGGAGGCUCUGCUGUCUUGGAACGAAAAUGCUGAAGAGGAGGCUAUUGUGAAGUUAGGGCAGGUGUUUGUGCGUGAGAAGUGAUACUGAAAACGUUCCUCUCUGCUCCUUUAUAUAGUGGUCAUGACGACAUAGGGUUUUACUCCACACCAUUGAUUAAAAUCCGAUCCAAGGGCCACAAAUAAUAGCACAAUAUUUUCAGAGAAUAUUCCUUAGAAUUCUCUAGAAUAUCUUGCACAUUAAGAGUUUGAAUUCGGCUGGAAUUGUGGCUGAAUACAUUGCUUGUUUUCCAAAUUGAAAUCAGCUUGAAUCUCUCCUUGUUAAUUGCCGAUUUGCUGCUGAUAAUUCUUCCCAUAUUUGUGCCAUUUAAUGUCCCUAGAAAAGGAAUAUAAAUCAGACAUAAACUCUAGGAAUAUUAGGAAUUUAUAUGGAGAAAUAAAAGGUAAGAAUUUCCCUUAAUUUCCUUGAUGUUUGCUGCAUUAUCUCCAUAUAAAUUCGGCUGGAAACCCUAAAAAGAUGGUGCCAUUCUCCUCCUUUUAUGUGACAGAAUUUCGGCCUAAUCCAUGUAGGAUUUGGUUUCCUUGCUUCAUGUGGAAUCCCUGUCUCAAGUGGAAAGAAAGUUUCCAAAAUAAUUCAGGAAAGUCAAAAUAGGAAAGAUUCAAAGUUAGUAAGUUUCCCCAAUCAAAAUAGGAAAGUUUCCCAAUAAUGAAAUAGGAAAGUUUCUCCUUAUCAAAACAGGAAAAUUUCCUAAACGACUUAUCCUUCUUAAUUGUCACAUCCCGACCCUUAUAUUUUUACCUUAUUUACUAGCGUGAUGAUAAUAAGAAUUUUACCGUCUUGAUCAUGAGUAAAUAGUUUAAUUGGUCCCUAGAGGGGUUUCGGGGACGAUUAUGUGCGGAGGAUUAUUCGUAUGAGGAAAAUACGACGACGGUAAAAAUGGUAAUUUUAGCUAGUAAAAGGUAAUUUUUAUUCGGGUAUUAUUUUUCGGGGUGUUUUUAUUUUGGAAGUUUGGGUUAAAAAGGGGUGUUGGGUCGGCUGGGCCGAGCCCAACCCAUUUCUUUCUUCUUUCUCUUCUCCCUCUCUCCCGAUUCUCUCUCCUCCCACCCGAUUUUCUUCUCACUACACCCAGCAGAAUUCCGGCCGCCCUCCCGCCGCCGUCCGACCUCCGUUCGCCGCCGGACCGGUCCCGUUCGGUCGGUCUCCCUCCCAGCAACACUUCUAGACCGGUGAGAGGAGCCCUAGCGCCGCCGUGAAGGGGCGGUGCCGCCCGAAAGAACCGACUGCCCCGAGCUUCCCUUCGCCGGAACUUCCUCCUCCGGCCACCAAUCCGGGCAAGCUUGGUACGGUUUUGUAGCCCUCCUCCCGUGCAACAACCCCUCCAAGCAGCUCCCUCCCUCUUGAGCUAGGUAANNNNNNNNNNNNNNNNNNNNNNNNNNNNNNNNNNNNNNNNNNNNNNNNNNNNNNNNNNNNNNNNNNNNNNNNNNNNNNNNNNNNNNNNNNNNNNNNNNNNNNNNNNNNNNNNNNNNNNNNNNNNNNNNNNNNNNNNNNNNNNNNNNNNNNNNNNNNNNNNNNNNNNNNNNNNNNNNNNNNNNNNNNNNNNNNNNNNNNNNNNNNNNNNNNNNNNNNNNNNNNNNNNNNNNNNNNNNNNNNNNNNNNNNNNNNNNNNNNNNNNNNNNNNNNNNNNNNNNNNNNNNNNNNNNNNNNNNNNNNNNNNNNNNNNNNNNNNNNNNNNNNNNNNNNNNNNNNNNNNNNNNNNNNNNNNNNNNNNNNNNNNNNNNNNNNNNNNNNNNNNNNNNNNNNNNNNNNNNNNNNNNNNNNNNNNNNNNNNNNNNNNNNNNNNNNNNNNNNNNNNNNNNNNNNNNNNNNNNNNNNNNNNNNNNNNNNNNNNNNNNNNNNNNNNNNNNNNNNNNNNNNNNNNNNNNNNNNNNNNNNNNNNNNNNNNNNNNNNNNNNNNNNNNNNNNNNNNNNNNNNNNNNNNNNNNNNNNNNNNNNNNNNNNNNNNNNNNNNNNNNNNNNNNNNNNNNNNNNNNNNNNNNNNNNNNNNNNNNNNNNNNNNNNNNNNNNNNNNNNNNNNNNNNNNNNNNNNNNNNNNNNNNNNNNNNNNNNNNNNNNNNNNNNNNNNNNNNNNNNNNNNNNNNNNNNNNNNNNNNNNNNNNNNNNNNNNNNNNNNNNNNNNNNNNNNNNNNNNNNNNNNNNNNNNNNNNNNNNNNNNNNNNNNNNNNNNNNNNNNNNNNNNNNNNNNNNNNNNNNNNNNNNNNUGUAGCACCGCAUUAAGGCGUGACGUGAGCGUUGGACGCGAGCGUAGUAGCCCUAUAUAGACCCAUGAAUUUAUAUAGGGAGUAUGGACGAGUGUAAAUACAUACAUAUAUUAUAGAGUCUGAGAGGCUCGAUAUUUUAUGAGAUAAAAGUUUAUCGCUUGCGGCAUGCAUUCGAUUUUUCCUUAGAAAUUAAUUUGGGGAAACAUAAAUAUUUUAUUUAUUAUUUUAUUUUUGUCCACUCACUCUGACGUUAUUAAAUGUUUUCCCCUGGGCCCUUUGUUUUAAAUUGCCCAGUCUGCAGAGUUCGGGUUGGAUCUAGUAGGAGACGAGGCAUAGUCACCCGCAUUUCUGCCAGUUUUCGCCAGUAGGUUACUUGUUCAACCUACUUGUGUUUUCUUGCUUCCGCUUGUGUUUAGUAGCUCUGAAUACUUUGAGAUUAUUGUAUAUUAAGUGAGGUUCGGAAGUGAUGAAUUAAGAGUGUAAUAUGAAAUUUUUCGAGUUAGGGUUGUCCAUCUACAAGGGAGAUUUUCUUAAUCUUUUCAGUAAAUUUUCCUUGGAGGUGGUCCCCGCACGACUUACUCUGGGUUUCAGGGUGAAAUUCGGGGUGGGUCGUGUCAUUAAUCCACCGGUUUUAGCUUCCUUUUUCACUUUUCCGCUCUUUUACCUUUACAAUCACAAAACAUGUUUAAAAUGACAAUGUUAAGAGAAUAACAUAACUAAAUAAGGUAGGAAAUACGUUAAUAUCGUAGCACUUUGUGCUCCUAUCAGCAUUCUUGCGCAUGUCUUUGACACCUGCGUGUGCCCCGCUUGGGCAUGGCACAAGGCUCACACCCUGCCCAAGCUUCCUUGGCACUAAGGUCGUAACAAAAGGUGAGGAAAAAUUGCAUAUUUUGCAACGAAAUAAUGGUAGAGUUUAGAGAGUAUAGUGGGUAAUUAAAGGUGAGAAAGAGAUUAUCUGGUUUUAUAAUUUUGGAAUUGAACAAUGUAGUUUGAGAUUAGAAUUAAAGUGCGAUGAGAACUGGGUCUUGCAUGUAGGAGGUGGAGAGAGGGCCAUAUGUCUUGAUCGGCAAUGAUGGUGACUGCGGAGGCUUUUUGGGUCUGUUGACGAAAGGGAGGAAGAGAUAAGAGUACCAUCGAAAUAAGAAUUUAAUAAUUAAUUAAAUGCAAAAACGAUAAAUUUUAGGGAAAAUGCCUAUUUAAUACUAAUUUAAACCCCUCAUUUCCCAUUUCAAUGAUAAUCUUUUUCAUUAGCCCAUUUCAAUAUAAGGUAACAUUUUUUAUGCCUAAAUAUACAAAUCUUUAUGCCCAAAUGUAUAAAUCUUUACUAAAGUCUUAACAAAUCAUAUUAUUUUAAAACUAUUUUGCCCUCACCCAUUAAACAUGCAUAGAGAGAGAAAAUGAAAGAGAGAAUACUUGGCCGGAAUCUCACCGGACUCUGGUCACCGGCCGUCGGACUCCGGUCACCGGCCACCGGACUCCGAUCACCGGAAUUUUCCCUACCGCCGGACUCCGGUCACCGGAAUUUCCUCUGUAACCAGUUACUGACCCUUAGUAAUCGUGUUACUGAUCUCUAAUAAUUAGUUACUGACCUCCAAUUAUCAACUUAUUUCAGCUUAUUGUAAUAUAAAAGAAGAAAUACCGAAACAUAAUCCAAUUAUUGACCCCAAUAAUAGUNNNNNNNNNNNNNNNNNNNNNNNNNNNNNNNNNNNNNNNNNNNNNNNNNNNNNNNNNNNNNNNNNNNNNNNNNNNNNNNNNNNNNNNNNNNNNNNNNNNNNNNGAGAGAGAGAGAGGAAAACCAGAUCGGGAAAAAGAGAAGGAGAAAGAGAUAAUAUUUGUGUGGUUUAGUUACACAGGGUAAUAUUGUCUUUUACUCAAAAAUCAUUGGAAUGGGCACAAGGAUAAGACUUUAAUUGGAAUGGGCUUUAGUUUUCAAAUAUUUAGGCAUUAAGACAUUUUCCCUAAAUUUUAAUCCAAAUCAACUAAAACAACUCAGCCUUUGAAUAAAGAUUGAGCAAAUCGGACGGUGGCUGACCAAAUAACCUUUGGUCAGUAGCUACCCAAGUGAUCAGGAAUGGUUAAACUUUUCUAAACUUUAUUCCUCAAGUGGUAAAAUGUGUCCUUAAAGUGGUAAUUAAAUUGUCAAAGUAGCCUCAACUUUUUUUUUUAUCACUUUAAGGACUCAUAUUACAACUUUAAGGACCAAUAUUACUACUUUACAAACUCUUAUGGUGACUAAUAAUAUUUACAACUUUAAAGACUAAUAUUACUACUUUGCUCACUCAUUUUACAACUUUAGGACAAAGUUGAUGCAUGUCAGGCAUUAACACAUUGUGAAAUUUUCCUAGAGGAGCUAGCUUCAACUAGCAUAGACACGAAAACUUUGAUCGAGGUAAAAAUGACCGAGAUUUACUCAAAAAAAAUUUCUAAAUCAGCCAAAGCCCAUCAAAACAACCUUCAAGAAACUAAGGGUUUAUUAAAAAAAAAACAACUAGCAAAAACUAAUUAGGAGCCCUAUCUCGUUGUGCAAUACCAUUGAACCACAUGACCACAACCUUCGUCAUUAAAACGUGAAUACUAUCAGAGUCAGACGUACCUUGAGACCAAGUCCAGAGAGCUUGCUACACCAAUCCUCUUGAAACUGCGCCCUGAUCCUCCUCCUCUGCAAUGUCAAGGCACACUGUCAACAUUUUGUGAACCACCUUACGUCCAUGCACAACAAUGUUGUAUGGUGAACCAUCUCACGUCACCUAGCUCCAUCCUAUGAAACCAAUCACGACCACACUGCCUUCAUGCUGCACUAAGACCAGACUUCAAAGCAACACCACCACUAAUUCGCCCAAACAAAAAACUAUCCCUUUGCUCGAAAACAAAUCCUCCAAACCACCACUCUUACGCACUAGCUUCACAACAAUAAUGACCAUGGUCAACAUUGGCGUUGGGCCACCACCAGACGAGUGACACUAAUAGGUGAGGAAGAGACCUAAACGGCUAAGGGAGAGAGCUAAGAUUUUCAUCUAUAGUGAAAGUUUUUAUUGACCUUCAAUAAAACGAUGAAUGAUGUUACUCAAAUGGCUAACGGUAAAUUAUCUAAUUAGUUUUUUUCCUUUUAAAAUCAACUUUUAAAGAAUAAUGAUAUUUAUACAUUUUUUUUAUCAGGUAAACAACUCAAAUAUUACAAUUUUGUGAGUCGAACUCACAACCACUCACUUAGUAAGGAAAGACUAUGCCGCUAGAUCAAAUAGUACUGGGCAUAUUUAUGCCUCUUUAUAUAUGGUGAUAGUGUUUACAUUUCUUUUAUAUUUUAUUUUUUACUUUGGAGAUAUUUUGCGAAGAAGUAUAAAACUCUUUCCGAGUUCCAUCACUUUAUUCGUCUUUGUUGUGGCUGCUAAGCGGAGUAAACACUUACAAUGACGACCACAAAUAGCCACAUCUAUCUAACACUUGUCAUGGAUGUCAUGUAGAAAUGUAGAGAAUUCAAAGGCAAAAGUAUCACCACACUUCCUUUUGUGAACUAAGUAAAGUCAUUGUUCAUUAUGAACAGUACCCCGUUGACAAAUAAUAACAGAAAAAUAUACAUAUUAACAUAGCUAGGGAGAAAAAAGUUUGGCAAUCAUUAUUGCUCACCUCGCUACAGUGAGUCUUCUUUCACGUCAAUUUGUUUUACCUUGUUGCUCCCUCGCUCGCCACUAUUCUCAAAUGGGGUUUGACAGCCACAGCUACCUAACACAUCUCAUAUUCAAGGGUAAAAGUGUCACCACAGUGUCGUUUGUGAACAAUAAGUCAUUGUUCAUUAUGAACAAUACCCCCUGUCGGUAAAGAAUAAUAAAAAAAAUAUAUAUAUAUAUAUAUAUAUUAACAAGAGAAGAAAAAGUUUGGCAAUCAUGAUUGCUCCAUCGCUACAGUGAGUCUUCUUUCACGACAAUUUGUUUUACCUUGUUGCCCCCUUCUUCACCACUAUUCUCAAAUGGGGUUUGUAAAAUUUCUUAUUGUUCCAGAAUAUCUUCUUCUUAUUAUUUUUUGUGUUCAAUUUUAUUUUUUCACAUCCCUUAUUAUUUUAACUCAUGCAAAACUAACACAAUGGAAUAAAUUGAGAUUAUGAAUCUGGUCGAAAUAUGACAUGAUGUCAUAUCUCAAAAGAGAGUGAAUUGAGUUGAUUUCACAAAUUGUCAUCAGACCCUGAUCUAUUAAUUAGCUGUGUCAAAUUGAAGAUCAAUGCACAUAUAUGAAUUACGAGAAGUCAAAAUAAAUUUGGCCAUACACUUGGUGAGCUAGCUUAGACUAUUUAUUUUUGACCUAACACAUUAAAUGUUGUGAGAUAUGUAUGAAUAAACGUCAUACCAAUAUGCUCUAUAUAUAACCCAGUCUUAUACAAUAUUUGUAUUACUUAUACUUUAUUGUUGUUCAAUUUGGAAUCUCCAAUGGCCGUCAUCCUUCGUAAAGUAGCUACAAAGACAUUGUGGGUUUACUUUUAUGUUUUGUUGUUUUCGGUGUCAUCGAAUAUGCAUUACUUAGUUGAUGGGGCACCACAAGCUCCUUGUUACUUCAUAUUUGGAGACUCACUAUCUGAUAGUGGAAAUAACAAUCGGCUUUUGACACUGGCCAAAGUCAAUUAUCAUCCAUAUGGCAUUGAUUUUUCACUAGGUCCAACUGGAAGAUUUUGCAACGGACGUAAUUUAGUCGAUAUUAUCGGUUAGUAUCUUUGUAGAAAUUAUAACCUUUAAUUAUACUAGUUUAUUACUUUAGCUCUGUGUAUGAAUUAAUUUUUGAGCUUGAAGGAACAUCUAAAUUUAAAUUUGAAAAGAGUAUUUAAUUUCAAGCACAAAUUAGCUUAUACAGUUUAGCUAGCUAGCGACUAAGAAUGUCUCUAAUUGUGUCAUCAUGCUAAUACAUAUUGUGUCAUCAUGCUGAUACAUUCUCAUUACAGCUAAACUAUUAGGUUUUGAUGAUUACAUUUCUCCUUUCGCAACUGCAACAAAAGAUGAUAUAACAAAAGGUGUAAAUUAUGCAUCUGGUGCAGCAGGUAUUCGUGAUGAAUCUGGACGUAAUCAGGUAUCUAGUAUGUAAUAACUAAUUUGAUAUGAGUUCAUUUCCUAAAAAAGAAAAUAUUAGAAGUGUGCAUAAGAACAACUCAUUGAAAUAUGAAACUUGAUCUUUUUGUUGUACUUUCAGGGAAUGAGAAUAUCCUUGAAUAAGCAAUUAAUAAAUCACCAAAUCAUAGUCAAAAGGCUUGUUGCCCUAAGGGGAAAUAACGGUUCACUCGUUGCUGAUUAUCUAAGCAAGUGCAUAUAUUCAGUUGGGAUGGGUAGCAAUGAUUACAUUAAUAACUAUUUCAUGCCAAAGCUUUACCAAACUAGCCGAUUAUAUACUCCAGAGCAAUAUGCAGAUGUUCUUGUUCAAGAGUACUCACAACAAUUAAGGGUUAGUAUCAAACUAUAAUUUCAUUAUCAUUCUUCUUCUACUGUAAAUCUUACAAAACUUUCUCCAAUAAUGAUAGACUCUGUACAAUUCUGGGGCAAGGAAGAUCGUCAUUUUUGGAGUAGGUAUGAUAGGCUCAACACCAUUCGAAGUAGCAAUGUGUGGCUCAAACGGCACUCUGUGUGUUGAUAACAUCAACAAUGCUGUCCAACUUUUCAAUGCAAGGCUUAAAUCGCUUGUUACUGAUCUUAACACAAAUCUAACAAAUGCUAAGUUUAUUUACAUAGAUUAUUAUGGAAUUGGCCUAUCCGGUGCUCUUUCAUCUCCUCCCGGUAAUUAAUCUCCUUUCUACAUUCUUUACUUUGUUGCUUUCGGGUAUAUUCAGAGAUGUGUUCCGUUUUGAUCUUUAGCUAUACAAAUUUCACUAUUUUUUUUUAAUUUUAAUUUUGAUGGGUUAAAGAGGUGCUAGGUUGCAAUAUGUUAAUUUUACAGAUAAUCUAAAAUUUUUAUAUACAUUCAUGAAAAGUGUAAGUUGUGGUUAAAUAAAAUGAUGUAUCUUGAAUUUCAGGUUCUAUAAACUACACUGCGCCAUGCUGUGAAGUUGAAAGGAAUAGCACGACAGGGCUAUGUACCGCGUUCAAGACCCCCUGUCAGAACAGAACUCAAUAUGCAUUUUGGGAUGCUAUCCAUCCUACUGAGAUUUCAAAUGUGUUUAUAGGAGCAAGAGCAUAUAAUUCUACAUUACCUACUGAUGUUUUUCCUUGUGACAUUAGCCACUUAGCUCAAAUGUAAAUCUCAUAUAAUAUAACAAACUAAGAGACACAUACAAAUAAUAAUGAAGGACAAGCAAAUUAUGGUAGCAACCAAUCAGAUCUCACAAAAAUGUUUGUCAUGUAUUUUAAUUUACAUUUUUUUUUAUUAAAUAUGUCAAUUGGUAUAUUGAUACUCAAGCCAAAAAGGCCAUUACAUAUUUUCCCUCUACAAACUAAGGGUAGAUAAAAAGUUUGUGGAACAAACCACAACGAUACAUAUAUUAGCCCUAAUCAUUCGACAAUUCAAAUGCUUACUUAUUUAAAAUAAGCCUACAACCAGUGCAAGACAAAAUACUGUAACAGACAAAUUUAAAAGAAAAAUAAAUAAAACCUAGUCCUAAAAGGCCAGCCCACUCAUUCCCAGGCCCAAGAUAAAGUCCACGAACCUUAUUUGUAAUAUCAUAAAGUAGUUAGUUUGGUUUACUUAUUAAAUUUUGUUUUAUUAAGUUUUUAAUAUUUUAAUUUUGUUUAAAAAAAAAACUAGAAUUGCAUUUCAAAAUUGGUUUUGUUUUACAAGCUGGAGCGUCAAAGCAAGCAUGUAGGAGCUGUCAGAGAGAUACAGCUAGAUAGGAGACCAAAUUUGAAUUAGAUGUUUUGUUUUGGUUAGAAUCGUUUUAGUUGCUGCUCAAGAAAAUUGUUCUUGAGUUUGGUUGUUCAAAUCAAAUUCUAAUUAGAUGUUUUGAUUCCUCGUUUGCAAUGGUUAAAAUAUUUUAGUGUUUUAGAAAUCAUCUCGUUUUCGUUCUAAAGCUUUAGAACUUGUUUUGUUACUCCAAAAGUCAAAUUAGAGUUUGUAUAAUCUACUUUUCUUGUUGUUGAAAUUUCUAGAAAAUUAGCAGAAAAACUUAUUUUCUUGCCUACUUUGAAGCAUGACAUCUCUCAGCUCAUGUUUUUGUUUUGAAAUAUGAAAGUACCUCUGUAAUCCUCAUAUAUCCUUUUUUGUGUAUGUUUAAUUUCAUUGGAUUUCAUUAACUUUUGGUGUGCCAAAUCAUCCCAAGCCCAUAAGAAGCACUACGUCAAUUUUACAAUCAUACGACAGGGAUCAGACGACAGAAGUCGUUUUUACUGUCGUCUGAUAAAUUUUAACGACAGACAUUUAAAUAUCUGUCGUCUGAAUAUAGCAAACGCGCAACGAUUAGAAUUCGCCUGUUGUUGAGAUGGCAGAUGACUGUCGUCUGAAAAACCAGUAAUUUUUUUUUUUUUGGCAUGACUGUAAGAUCAUUUUUUUGGCACUUAAACCAACUCUCACAUCCCAACUCUCAUUAUAUCUCCCCGAUUCAUAUCACUCUCACAAUAACUCUCUUGCUCAUUCUCUCCACUCAUAUAUCCUCACACCUUCAUUCUUGCCCAAAUCCCGUCUCUCUCCAUCUCCAUCUCCGAUCUCUCUUCGGCAGACACAACAUAUCUCUCCCUCUGACGCGUUUGUGGGCAUCGGUCUUUCCAAACCAGCCAACCCUAAUGUUUCACGACUGUUGGUAAGCCCUUCGAUUCACUAUUAUUCUAUUUAGGGUUCUUACUGGAGUCGUUUUGGGUUUUGAGGUUCAUCUGAAAUUCAAUUUGGGGGUUUCGAAAAUUUCUUUUCAAUUUCGAAUUAGGUUUGCUGGGGCUCGUUCGAAUUGGGGAUUCUGAAACAGACAUAGGUUCGAUCGAAUUUAAUUUUAUUACUAAAUUCAAUUCUGAUUGCUCUAAUCGAACGAUUUUUUGUUUGUUUUAGGGUUUCAUAAUGGUGAUUAGGUCAAGGGAUAUGCUAGGUUGAUUCCAAAAUUUAACUCGUAUAUUGUUUUCUUUGAUCCAUGUCCAUGAAUAAUGUAUUCCUAUUUAUGGUGGUUUGGUCAUUUUUUCUGGAUUUCAAUUUGGUGGUUUGGUCAUUUUCAUUUGAAAUUCGAUUUGGGUUGGCUAAUUUUUAAUCGAAUUGGGUGUGGGGUUUAUUGGACUUGGGUGUGUAUGACUUGCAGAAAUUUUGAAGUUAGCAUCUCAGAAGAUGUCGAGCCAUUGCGGGUUACAGUUUCAUGUUUUUAAACAUGCAUUGAUAGUUGCAGUUGUGUUCUAAAUGCAGAAUUGGUGAAGUUGAUGAUUACCCAGGUAGUAGUAAUGUCUGUUUAAAUUAAGGGAUUGGGUGACUUUUAUUGGGGAAUUUAUAUUGAAUGAAAACCAGUUAUGUCACACCCCGGUUCUUAAGUUAUUUUACGGUUAUUUACUUUGGUGUUAUUUUGGUCUUUUACCGUGUUGAGUAACCGUUUACUACUUAAGGACCCUAAAGUUGACUUUUUCUUCCGUUUGGAAUCUGGGAAAACUUCCUUCAUGAAAGUUGUAGAGGACGUUAAACGGAGUUCGUGGACACGCGGCACGCUUAAAACGGAGUUCGUAUGAAGAAGUUAUGGUCUAAAAACGAAAAUUACUAUAUUGGUAAAAAGAGGUAAAUUCUUGUAGGCUUUAUUUUGUUGGGUGUUUUAAGUUUGGUACUGGGUCGAAGAGGGGGGUAAAAAGGACCCACGCCACUCUCUCUCUCUCUCUCUCUCCCUCUUCCUUCUCUUUUUCUCCCGAGCUCUCCCGACCCGGAAAAUUUCCGACCAUCGUUCGCCGCCGUCCGGCCGAGAUAGGAGGCGUGCUUGGUAUCAAAUCGAAGCUUGGAACAUCCUCUUCAAUUCUAGGUAGGUGGCUGGUCGUGUGCGCCGCCGUGAGGAGGAAUUACGCCGAGAAGGAGCGGCUGUGCGUGGUGGAGUUUCGCCGGAAACUCUCUUUCCGGCCACCAUAGCCGGAGCUGUUGGUCUCAACUUGAAGCUCUCCCUCCCAGCAGCUAAACCCUAAAAGGAUUCAUCCUAACUCNNNNNNNNNNNNNNNNNNNNACAUGUUUAAGCUCGAAAUUGGACUUAGUGAUAGUUAUGAAAGUUGUUUGGGAUGUUGAGAGGAACAUGUUUUAAAAUUUGGUAGCCAUCGGGGGUCGCCGGAGUUGGCCGCCCGCCGCCGCUGCCGGCGGAGCAGACGGCGGCGCUGCCGCUGUAAGGGGGCUUUUCAGGGUUUUAAAUGUGUUAUGUUAAGAGGAGUUUAUUGAAGUAUAGUUUGGAAUUUUUUGAUAAGUUUUGGUUAGGUUUGGAAUUUUUCGGAGAUUGGAGAAAAUGCCGGUUAUUUGAAUGAAAAUCCGACCGUUGGAUUUCCUUGGUAUUUAUUAUAGAAUGUUAGAAUUGAUGAAUUAAGGUUGUGGUGGAGUUUGGUGUGAAUCCGACGAGUUUAACCAUAUUAAGAGUAGAGGGUUAAACGGAGGAGAGUUAGAUAUUUUAAUUCACGUAUUUAUUUUCUGGAAUUGAAGUUUGGUUCUAAGCAUGGUUGUUGUGCCAGGAUGCGAAGGGAACCUCGCUUGAGCGGCGAUGCGGUUAUCGUCGGGCUUAGGCCUAAUUUGUGAGUGGACUUUUAUUUGAAAUAAUAUGCAUGCUAUGGUUCAUGAUUGAACAUUUCCUUUUGUUGGAGUUUUUGACGUCAAUUAAUUUUGACGCUUUUAUUUCUCUGAGAGAGUUACCGAAAAUGGGAUUUUCGGUGAAUAUAAAUAUGUAUUUAUGAGAGAGUAUGUAUAUAAAAGCUAGCUAGCCAUAUGUGUCUGUCCACCUUAAUGGCGUAGCAUAUAGCCGCAUUAUGGUGUGACGUGAGCGUUGGACGUAAGCGUAGUAGCCCUAUAUGAGUGUUUAAUUCAUAUAGGGGGUAUGGGCACAUAUUUAUACACCCGUCUGUCACCUUGAUGGCGUAGUGUAGCACCGCAUUAAGGCGUGACGUGAGCGUUGGACGCGAGCGUAGUAGCCCUAUAUAGACCCAUGAAUUUAUAUAGGGAGUAUGGACGAGUGUAAAUACAUACAUAUAUUAUAGAGUCUGAGAGGCUCGAUAUUUUAUGAGAUAAAAGUUUAUCGCUUGCGGCAUGCAUUCGAUUUUUCCUUAGAAAUUAAUUUGGGGAAACAUAAAUAUUUUAUUUAUUAUUUUAUUUUUGUCCACUCACUCUAACGUUUCGUUUUCAAAUGUUUUCCCCUGGGCUCUUCGUUUUAAAAAUGCCCAGUUUGCAGGAUUGCAUAGUUGAGGUCGGACGUAUAUGGAGAAGAGGCAUAGUCAAUAGUGUAGUUUCCGCUCAUUUUUUAUAUUUCUAGUCCAUUUCCUUUCAAAUAGAGUUGCUCUGAACUAUGGCUGUUGGCUAUGAGAUUUUUUCUUGUUUAAGUUAGAAAUUAAAUUGGGAGAUGUUGUGAUUUGGGGAGCACGAAGGCUCCAGGAGUUUAAGGUUGGAUUUAAAUUUUCAGAAGUGUUUGCAGGUAUUAUUAGGAAAGGUUGUCCAUUUUUCAAGGGAGGUUAUGCCGAUUUUUCGGUAAAUUUUUCUUGGAGGUGGUCCCCGCACGACUUACUCUGGGUUUCAGGGUGAAAUUCGGGGUGGGUUGUGUCAAGUUAUGUGUAUUCCCAUAUUAGUUCUCUGAAUGAACAAGAUUCUUGAACAAUAAGGGUCUAGUUGUAGCUAAACUCCGAAGCAGCUAAAAGAAUGGAAUUAUGGGAUUCUUUAAUUUGAUAUGAAUUUGGUGUUAAAAAUUUGACAUCUUUUUAGUUGCUCUAUAUCUUUUCUUGUUGUUGAUGUAGCUGUUGCUUUGGUUCAUUAGUGCUGAUGAAUUGAUGAUGAUGGUUGCUGCAAAGAGGCAUGGAAGAAAAAUUUGAAAAUAGAUAUUGCGCUCUUUCUUUUUCUUUUUUCCUUUGCUCUUUUGAUAAAUGCUUUUCUAUGCUCUCAUUUGAUUUUUUUUUUUUGACAACAGAACCAUUAUAUGGAAACCAAAACAUUUGUGGCUGGUUUGGUCAGUAUUGGUUUUGGGACCAUUUAUGCUGCAAGUAAAGGUCAGCCCAUUACUUACAUAUAAUGUCUAAGUUUGCAAUGUGGUAUUUUACAUUAUAUGAAAGGAAAAGGCAAAAGCUACAUUCUAUCUUAUCUUGUUU
rnacentral:lncRNA from 1 species